UGAGGGAGGAGGAUCUGAGCAACAAGAGCCCCCUGCUCUUGAAGAUGAACCCAGUCCACAAGAAGAUCCCCGUCCUCAUCCACAAUGGCAAGCCCGUUUGCGAGUCCCUCCUCAUCGUCCAGUACAUCGACGAGACCUGGGGUCACGAGUCUCCUCUCCUGCCUUCGAAUCCUUACGAGCGUGCCCGGGUCAGGUUCUGGGCCGACUAUGCGGACAAGAAGGUAAGACAACAACCCCUUAGACUUUCGAACGUUCUGUUAUCAUCUGUGCUUAACAUCGAGACACGAAAUGAUGGUGCAGAUGUAUCAGGUGGCGCGAACAGUGUUCCUGUCGAUGGGGGAGGUCCAGGAGGCGGUGAAGAAGGAGUACAUCGAGUGCUUGAAGGUGUUGGAGGGAGAGCUCGGGGACAAGGCUUACUUUGGCGGGGAGAGGUUCGGGUAUGCGGAUUUGUCGUUGAUACCCUUCUAUAGUUGGUUAGAUGCUUUGGGGAAAUUGGCCGACUCUAGCAUCGUGGAGGAGUGCCCCAAGCUGGCGGCGUGGGCCAAGCGGUGCAUGCAGAGGGAGAGCGUGGCCAAGUCGUUGCCCGACCAACACAAGCUCUAUGACUACAUCAUAGAGAGCAGGAAAGAGCUUCAGGCGAAAUAGACAACUCUCCUGAGUCUGAUUAUGGUCAUCUUAUGACAAUUGUAAAGUAAUAACCCCUCUCCUUUGGACGAGGCUAAGCUUCUUUGUACUUCUAUGGUUUCCUUUCUGUAUUCCAGUGCUUCUGGAUCAGUUAAUAAACUAUACACAGCAUUUCAUCAAUUCCGUUAAUCUCUUUCAGUCACGCUAGGGAAUAUAUCCUCUAUUUCCAAUAACAAAUCUUCCAAAAGUUAACAAAUUUAUUUGGCACACGUUAAAGCGUUCACUCGACAAAUUAGAGUCACUCAACUUAUUAAGCUGCCUUCCCAUGGCUUGGCUAAAAAUACGCCAUGGCCCCUUAUUUCUCUCUCGAAAGUGCGUGCACAGACGCCCACAGCAUCAUUAAAAAAACAUACAUCGAUAACAGAAGAGAAACGAAUGUCAAUUGGACUCUAUCACUUGGGCGUGCUCUAUGUGGAAAUCUAAAGCGAAGCGAACACUGGAGGAGGUCUGGACGAUGAUGAUGAUGAAGAUGACGAGGGAUCUGCAUCGACACUUGAAGAAUCUCUUUCUUCUUCUUUGAGGAUCGUCGCCAAAGCACUCGCCAAUGGGCGUUUUGUUAAGUGAGGGAAUCCCCCCCCCGGGGGGGGGGGGCGUGUGGGUGUGGCGAACCUCUGUGAUGAAUCUGGUGAGUUGUAUCUUGGCCGUCUAAAAAGCAGUCGCCAGUGCCGCAAAGUUAAAACUGGGUAUCUGAACAAGUUGAAGACAAACUCUGAGAGCAUAUAUGAUUAUAAACUUGGAGGCCUCAGAAUCCAGUGAAACUUAAUGAACACCAGAAUGCCGAAUGAGAUGAAGAAGUUGCGGGCAUUUCCAUUAGAGUGUCAAUUGGUAAAACAGAACCGAGAGUCCACGAAAUCGAAGAAGAUCUAGGAUACGGAUGCGUAUCUUGAUACGACACCUUCUACAAUUGUUCAUGGACACAGAAGUCUCCACGUCUCCAUCUUCCGGCAAUGGAAAGUGGGUGACCACCCACUUUUUGUACGAAUUCCUCAAGUAGAUGUCUACUAUGUGCUAAGGAAACCCAGAAAGUGAAGAGAGAGAAAGGAGGGGCUUUUGGGGGGGUGGGGGGGGGGGACCUGCCAUAAACAGGGACCACGUACUUUCUAGCUUGACUUGUCGAUGUCUGUUGUUUUUUCUUUCAGACCUUAUUACUAUGAUAUGUUGUUUUCAAAAGAAAAGAGAAGGAGUUGAUAGCAAAAGCUGUGUGCCUUGUUCAGAAAACUGAAAAAUGUUCAAAAUACAUAUUAGAACUUAACUAUAAACCCACAUUGCUCACUAACAGCUUGCUGGGUCCACAAAAUUAGCAACAAACUAACAUAACAACUAAAAAACGUGUAGCUAACUACUCCUACAAGAUAAGAUUGACCAAGAAAAACAAUAAUUAACCAACUCCUAGAAAACAAGACAUCACAAACUAACUAAACAAAACAAAGAAGAAAAAACAGAUGGUGCAGUCUUGAUACAUCAACACUCUCCUCCUGGAUCAAGUACUGCACACUCCUAGCUUUGCCCUAAAAAGUUCAAAUCGACCAAUAUGAAAUGACUUCGUGAAUAUAUUUGCAAUCUGGUUUUCUGAAUUACAGUACACCAGUUUCACCUCUCCAACCUUUUGCACUUCUCUCAAGAAGUAAAACUUGACCUUAAAAUGCUUUGUUCUUCCAUGAAAUACUAGAUUUUGUUAAAUGACCAGAGUAGCUUGAUUAUCCACAAACACUUCCAUGUCUUCUUCUUGCUGCAUAUGCAGAUCAUCUAUCAGCUUCUUCAACCAUAAUGCUUAAUUCACAGUUACAGUAGCUGCAAUGAACUCAUCUUUUGUAGUUGAUUAAGCUACUAUUUCCCGCUUCUUUGAAUACCAGGAAAAACAUGCCGACCCAAAUGUAAAGCAAUAACUUGAAGUGCUCCUCAUAUCAUCCACUGAUCCUGCUUAGUCACUGUCAGAAUACUCCUGCAACUUAAACUCCUAAACUCUACAAAACUUAAUCCACAUAUGAAAUAGUACCUUUUAAGUAUCUCAACACCCUCUUUGCAGCUACUAUAUGUGACUCACUUGCACAAUUGAGAAAUCUAGAUAAGACACUAAUAGGAAACAUGAUGUCUGGCCUAGUUGCAGUGAGAUACAUAAGACAACCAAUCAAACUUCUAUAAACUCUUUCAUCUGCAAGUUUUGAUCCAUCAUUCUUUUGAAGCUUUUCCGUAUGACCCAUUGGAGUACUCACACUCUUGCACUCCUCCAUGUUGAUUCUCCUUGGGAUCUCCUUCAAGCACUUAUUUUGACAAAUAAAAACUUCAUUCUGAUUUUGCCUAACCUCCAUUCAUAGAAAAUAUGACAUCUCACCAAGAUCAAUCAUUUCAAACAUCUUCAUCAUCUCUUGCUUAAAUGCAAUAAUCUGAGCACUAUUACUCCCUGUCACCAGCAUAUCGUCCACAUAAAGAGAUACCACCACUAAGUCAGAUACUAACUUCUUGACAUAUAGAGUGGAUUCACUGAGGCUUUUCUUGAAAUCUAGGCCCAACAAGUGCUCAUAUAUCCUACUGUACCAUGCUCUAGGAGCUUGCCUCAAGCCAUAGAGAGCCUUUCUCAGCAAAUAAACUUUCUCCUCCUGGCCUAGCGUGACAAAGCCUUCUGGCUGCUCAACAUAAAUCUCCUCAUCCAACACUCCAUUAAAAAAUGCAGAUUUCACAUCUAAUUGAUAUACCUUCCAUCCUUGUUGAGCUGCCAAAGCAAGAAUCAUUCUAAUUGUAUCAAGUCUUGCCAUGGGAGCAAAUGUUUUUGAGAAAUCAACUCCCCAAACUUGUGCAUAUCCCUUCACCACCAACCUGGCCUUAUGCUUAUUUACUGAGCCAUUAGGAUUAAAUUUGGUCCUGAAAACCCAUUUUACUCCAAUCACCUUCCUAUCUUCAAACCUCUCCACUAGCUCCCAUGUUUAGUUCUUUUCUAUCAUUGCCAACUCUUCCUUCAUUGCAUUCAUCCACCUCCGAUCGCUUUUAGCUUCCUCAUAGCCUGUAGGUUCCAAAAUAGCCACAUUGCACCUUUGAUAUAUAUCAGUCAAAGAUCCGGUACCUCUAACUAGAACAUCAUCCACUAGCUCAUCAAGUUCCAAUGAGACCUCUUUGUGCUUGCCUUGUGGCUCAUUUGUCCAAUCCCAUUUAUCAUCUUCUGGGAACUGAACAUCCCUGCUAGUGAUCACCUUCCCUAUCUGUGAUUGAUAGAUCCUGUAAGCUUUUGACACUAAACUAUAGCCAACAAAGAUCACAGGUUUAGCUUUCUCUCCCAACUUGUUUCUCUUGACCUGUGGAAUAUAAGAAAAACACAAACAGCCAAACACCUUCAAAUUUCUUAGAAUUGGCUUAACAUCAAACCAAGCUUCAAAGGGUGUUUUCAUCUCCAAUACCCUCGUAGGUAGUCUAUUCAGUAGAAAAACUGAUGUGUUUGCCGCUUUUGCCUAAAAAUCUUUUGGUAGAUUCUUCUUAUAUAGCAGACACCUCGUCAUCUCCAUAAUGGUUCUAUUCUUCCUCUCACUAACUCCAUUUUGCUGUGGAGAGUAAGGACCAAUAAGCCGAUGAAAAAUUCUAGCCUCUUCAUAGGAAGAAUUAAACCUCUAUGAAAUGUAUUUUGUUCCAUUAUCAGAUCUAAUGACCUGAAUCUUGCAGCCACUUUGGUUCUCAACCCAUUUCUUAAACUUCAGAAAUACCCUAACAACUUCUGACUUUUGCUUCAUAAAGUAAAUCCAGCACAUUCUAGUAUAAUCAUCAAUGAAAAUAAUGAAAUACCUGCUGUCAUUUAAUGACGGAGUCACUUGUGGACCAUAUAGAUCUGUAUGAAUCAAUUGCAGCUUCUCUAUAGCUCUCCAAGUGGAUUCCUUGAAGGGAAGUCUUGUUUGCUUACCCAACAAACAAGCUUUACACCUUGUGAUUUGCUCCUCCAGGCUUGGUAACCCAGUUGCCAUUUCAUUCCUCUGCAUGAACAACACACCUUUAUGAUGAAAGUGCUCCAACCUCUUGUGCCAUAUUUCUGAAUCAUUAGCCUGACACUUGAAUGCCAUCUACUCCUUCUCAAGAGGAUUCAAAUAAAAACUCUUCGUUGCAUCUUUAUCUUGAAUAGCUCCUGACCACUGGAGUCAAAGAUAAAAUACUUCUCCAUUUCAAAUAUCACAUUAAAUCCCUUUUCUACUAACUGCCCCACACUUAGCAAAUUCUGAUCAAUUUUAGGCUCAUACAUUACAUCAAAAACCAGCUUUGUUCCAACACAACUCUCCAUUGCUAUAGUCCCUUUUACCGUUCACUUCUAAGUACUCCCCAUUCCCAAUCCUCACUCUUGACUUCAACAACUUGUCAAGGUUUAUAAAUAGCGUUUCAUCACUUGUCAUGUGGUUUGUGCAACCACUAUCAACAAGCCAACUGUCACAUGGAAUACUAGAGGAGAAAUAAGAGGCAACAAAUAGUUGAUCUACCUCUUGCUGGACUGUAGCAUGUACCUCACCUUGUUGCUGAUCUCUCUUCUCUUUGCAAAACUUCUCAAUGUGUCCAAGUUUAUGACACUUUCUGCACCUUACAUCUGGCCUCUUCCAACACCUAAAGUGUGGAUGAUUCUUUUUUUCCGUAGUGCUGACAUGAGGAAUAUCUUUUCCAAUUGUUCUUGGAGUUGCCCGCACUAUUCUCUCCUGCAGCAGCUUCUGAAACACUACUGCCAUUUCCUUUCUUCCCUUUCCACUUCUUGACUUUUCCUCCUACAUUUUGUUGUUCUUUGGCCAGCAAAGCUCAUUCUGUACUUCCUUCCAGCUUCAUUAACCUCCUCUUCUCUUGUGCUUGUAGAGCACUUAGCAAUUCUGCCAACUUGAUUUGAGAUAAAUCCUUUCGAGCAAGGAGACAAGAAUCUUUUGCACUAGCCUAUUUUAAGAGAGGUUAGUGCCUAGAACUCUUGCCUGAUUUACAAUGCUUAUCAACUUAUCAGAAUACUCCUUAAUUGUCUCAGACUCCUUCAUCUGCAGUCUCUCGAAUUCUGUGAUCAAGUUUAGCCCCUUCAUACUUCCGAUCCUCUCAUCUCCUUAAUACUCAUCUUUGAGGAAGUCCCAAAUAGCUUUGGUUGAUUUACAAGCCAUAAUUCUAUUGGAAAUGGCAGGUGAGACAUCAGCAUAUAAACAAGACUUUGCCUUUGCUUUCCUUGUUGUCCUUUCCUUGUGAAACUUGAUUUGAUUGACAAUUGGAUUGUUAGGAAGAGGAGCAACUUUAUAAUCUUGUUCCACAGCUUCCCAAAAAUCACAACCUCUAGAUAGGCUUGCAUUCUCACUGCCCAUGCUUGAUAAUUUUCUCCAUCAAACGCUAAUGGAGCCAUUGCUGAAAAACCACUCGAUCCUGCAUCCAUCUCAUCUUGCUUGUAAUUUCUAUGGAUGUAGACACACCUCUCAAUCAAUCUCACAAGUCACUCACAGCCCCUUAAGAUCAAGAAAGCUCUAAUACUAGUGUUUUUUUUAGACCUUAUUACUAUGAUUUGUUGUUUUCGAAAGAAUGGAGAAUGAGUUGAUAGCAAAAGUUGUGAGUCUUGUUCAGAAAAUUGAAAAAUGUACAAAAUACAUACUAGAACUUAACCAUAAACCCACGUUGCCCACUAAUAGCUUGCUUGGUCCACAAAACCAGCAACAAACUAACAUAACAACUUAAAAACGUGCAGCUAAUUGCUCCUACAAGAUAAGAUUGACCAAGUAAAACAAUAAUUAACCAACUCCUAAAAAACAGGAUAUCACAAAUUGACUAAACAAAACAAAGAAGAAAAAACAGAUGGUGCAGUCUUGAUACAUCAACAACGUCAUAGCUCUGGAAGGUAAUACAGAUUAGCUAAUGAGUCGAUCUCUCUUUUGAAAUUGGCUUGUUAACUACACUUACUUAAAGAUUAAGAAAACAAACUUCAUUAUUCGCAGGUACAGCUACCAACGGAGAGAGAGGGGAGAAUAUGUGUAUAGUGCUAUGUAUUCUUCUAAAAUUUUGUAGAAUGGACUUACAAAAAGAAGAGACAGGUUUAUGUUGAGUGCUUUCUUAAUCGGAUUUUAAAGGCCACUUACAGUAGUUUCUUUUUAUGGUCAGAAGCCAUUUAAAAUAGUUUGCCAGCUCAUUUUGCAAACUGAUUUCAGUAUUCUGUUGCCAUUUUUCUUAUGGUAUAAUCGGUUUUGUAAUAAAUGGGCCCAAGCCCCCAUCAAUUUGGUGACGCUUCUGCUUAGGACAAAAAAAGAAAGAAAGACUAUAAAGUGAUGACAAAGAGAAAUAAGAAGAAAGAAGAGAGAGGCUUACUUCAACAGAGGCGUGACCGAUGAGGAGGGAAAAAGAAAGAAAGGAAAAGCAAAAAAAAAAUUCAUGCGUACACACAUGGGAGAUCUCGUUUGCAAUGCUGGUAAAGAUUCAAGCUCUUUAUUCAUCUAAUCAAAGUAAUCUUCAAAAUUAUGUGAAUUUUGUAUUGAAGGGUACAAUUUUGAAGUUGCUAAGCUAUGAAUAGAAAUGAUAGUUUAAGUUGAUUGGAGUGAAUUUUUAAUAUUUUGUCUCACUCCACGUAGUGGAUAGUUUUGAAUAGCUUUGACCAUACAUUUCGUUUAUGUGUAAGUGUCAUUUCAUCAGCAAUUAAGCUUAGUUUAGUCAAUUUAUAUUGAGGUAGUAUUUUAUUUGAUUUUGAUUUUUUUUUCUCAUUUAACCGUUUGGAUUACAAGUUCGUCUACUUGAAUAAGCUUAUGUGGUUUGGUUUAUACUUUUCUAUGUGAAUUGUUUUAUCUAUUCUCUGAAUUUGUAAACUCAUACCUGAAAGUGAUAGAGAUUAUAUAUGAGUCUAGGUGGGCUAACCUUAUGAUUAUAAUGAAUUUGUAAUGGUGCUUUUAUGGCCACAAAUCUUACUUUACGCUAGUUGGACUAAUUUGGGCAAUUGAAGUACAAAAUAUUCCAAAAUUAACCUUAAAAAAAGGCCCCUAUGUUUGCAAAAUCACAAAAGUUAAACUAUUUAAACAAAUAAUAAAAAUCAUAACCUUAUCAUUUAGCACCAAUCAACUACCACAAAAUAGGUGAUAAAACCUUGAACUAAAUACAAAAAGAAAGAUUUGCUGAACAAGAUCCCUCCGCUCUUGCAAAUGAACCUAGUUCACAAGAAAAUCCAUAUCCUCAUUCACAACAGCAAAUUGGUCUGUGAGUCUCUCAUUAUGGUUCAAUAUAUAGCCAAGGUUUCCAUAAACUACCACAAAAAGGAUGGUAAAACCCCAAACUGAAUACAAAAAGAAAGAUUUGUAGAACAAGAGCCCUCCACUCUUGCAAAUUAACCUAGUUCGCAAGAAAAUCCUGGUCUUUAUUCACAACGACAAAUUGGUCUGUGAGUCUUCCAUUGCAGUUCAAUACAUAAUCGAGAUUUCCAUCAACUACCAUAAAAUGGAUGAUAAAACCGCAAACUGAAUAUGGAAAGAAAAUUUUGCAAAACAAUAGCCCUCUGUAAAUGCUAGUAUGAAUACCUAGAGGGGGGUGAAUAGGUGUGAAGACAAUUUUUCACAAGGAACAAUGGAAAUAAUUUGCUUUUAAAAUAGAAUCUGAAAAACAAUAGACUUUAAGCGAGUUCGGACUUUAGCAGUUAAAUAGAACUACAAACAAAAUAAAGAGUUCAGGGAAGAGAAUAAGAAUACAUAGUUUAUAGUGAUUCAGCUUAGAUCAAGCCUACGUCCACUCUCCAUACUAACAGUCUACUGGCUGGAUUUCACUAAGGAUCAAAAGAGAUUUUACAGCCUUGUGAUCUCGACUUCACAAUGAAGAGUCUCAACUGCUCUCUCACAAAGUCUCACUAUAAGUUUCUCUCUUUCGUAUACAACUUUGAGCUCGUAAUAUCGAAUGACAAGAAAAUGGUAAGUUUCAGACUUUGAAAUUUUUCUUUCACGCACUCUGUCGAACAACAGGAGAAUCUACCUUAAAAACUCCUUCAUGCCUUUAUAAUUGUUGGCACUUUUCAAAGAAAUUCUUCCAAUCUACCCUUGGAUAGAAUCAAUUAAGGAGAUCUCGAGCCGUUUAAAGAUUGUGAUGAAAGCCCGUCAAUCUUGUUCACCAAUUCAAUCAGGAUCCUAGUUUCCAUAAGUAGAUUCUUUCCAAAUUACUUGCCUUCGAAAGAAUUUGAUUUAUCUAAAUUAAUUCCAAUAAAGAUAAUCAAUCCCGUAGGUGAUAUAUCCAACCAGAAAGCCUUCCAUAAUCCAUACGAACCAAACUUAUGAAGAGAUAAACAAAAUCUCCCAUCUGGAUAAGUCUUAUUUCUUCAGUAGCGUUCAGUCUGGGAUUUGUUAGUGUGUAUAGACUUUGUCACUAAAGUCUGGUCGUCUUCAAACUUUGACACUAAAAUUUGAAAAUCUUUAGAAUAGACUUGGGAUAAGUUUUGUUAACUUCAAAACACCAAGGAGUUUUCUCUAACAAUCUCCCUCUUUUUUAUGGUGACAAAACUUCCCUACAGAUUUGAGAACUUAUGACCUGUAAAACAACACUUUAACAGUACGUGAUAUCUAAAACAAACGGAUAAGGAUUUGGAUAGCAUCGAUUCUGCAACCACAGAAAACAUGUUAAUCUUGAAAAUUUAGACAUAUAUCAAGAUUUAAAUAUUCAUCCAUAUCCAUAAUCAUGACCACAAAAGUUCACAAAAGUUCACAAAAUUUCUAUAGAAUAUAAACAUUUAAGGAAAAUCAAAUCUGCAAUAAACAAAAGUUCAAAUCAAAGUCUAAAUAUGCACAUUCUCCCCCCUUUUGUCAACAGCAAAAAGUGGAGAAAAAUAAGAUUGAAAAGAGAUAUGAUGAAAUCAAGUUUGUCUUGGAAUUCAAAUGAGUUGGAAAUCCCCCAUUGACUGAACUGUCUCCUCUAGCUUUCACAUUGUCUCCUUUAGCUUCUCAACAUCUUCGAUCUUGGCAGUUUGUGAAACUUGCUGAUGUAAAGCUUGAACUUGAAAGUUUAAAGACUGUACCUUCUCAUUGAGAGAAUCUGAAGUAGAUUGCAAAGUGUUGGAGAAAACUUCCGUAUCUGUUUUGAAGCUGACAAAAUGUUUCCAUCAGUCUAGUUUGUAGACUUGUAGACUCUUUCGUCAAAGUCUGAAGACCGCCGAACCUCCAGAAUUAAGAUUCAAAGUCUACCCUCGUUGACAAAUUCUAGACCGUUGAAGAAGACUUAUCCAGAAUUGAGUAUUUCGUUAAGGAUUUGAUUCUAUUAACUAAAGAAGAUCUCUCGGCUGGAUAUAGCAUCUUGGAAUCUAUUAUUCGUUUUUAAUUUAGGUAAUUUAGAUCCGUUGAUUGACGAAACAUACUUGGAAGGUUCUACUUAUGGAAACUUAGAUCUUGAUUGUAUGGGCGAGUAGGAUUGAUGAGCUAUCGUCAUAUUUCUUAAAUAACUUGAGAUCUUCCUAAUUGAUUCUGUCCAACGGGUAGAUUAGAAGAGCUCUUUUGGAAAGUGCUAACGGUUAUGAAGGCAUGGAGGAGUAUAUAAGGAUGAUGUUCUAGUUAUUCAAGUAUGUGCGCGAUAGAAGAAUUCUAAAGUCUGAAGCUCCUUAUUCUUUGUCAAUUCAAUUGUUGAGUGUAGACUUGUACUCAAAAGAGAGUUUAUACAUUUGUGAGAUCUUGAGGAAGUGUAGCAGAGUCUCUACACUGUGAAAUUAAGGACGUGAUACUGUAACAACUCUUUUGAUUCGUAGUGAAAUCCAACCGGUGGACUGUCAGUACGGGAGAGUGGAUGUAGGCUUAGAUUAAGCCGAACCACUAUAAACCUUGUGUUCUUAUUCUCUUCCCUGAACUAUUUUACUUUACUCGUAAUUUUAUUUAAUUGUUAGAGUCCCAUUUCUAUUUUAAAGUCUACUGUUAAAUAGACUCAGGUUAAACUUAAAGUUUUACUAUGUCCUUCGCAAAAAUUUAUUUUCGCACCUAUUCACCCCCUCUAGGUGCUCAUACUAGCACUCUGAAUUGGUAUCAGAGCUUGUGUACUCAUUUAAAUUGAAGUGUUUUUACUUCAGAGUUAACGAUCCAUGGCUAGUAUGUUGGCUCCAGGCUUGGUUGAAGGGCAAAGUAACACCAGACCGCCAUACUUUGAUGGGAAAGAAUACAACAUAUGGAAAAACAAAGUGAAUGCAUUCCUGAGAUCGAAAGACCCUCUUGAAUGGGAUAUGGUGGAUAAGGGAAUUAUUCCUAAAACUACAACAGUCUUAGAAAGUGGAAAAGAAGCUGUUGAGUCCAACGAUAUGACUCAAGAAGAGAUAACCAACAGACAAGCUCUUGAUGCAAAAACAAUUUAUUCUUUAUAUUGUGCAUUGUCUCCUACUGAAUAUAACAGAAUAUCUUCUUGUGAAACAGUUAAAGAAGUUUGAGAUAGAUUGCACAUCACCUAUGAAGGAACUGAUCGAGUGAAAGAAACCAGAAUCAAUAUUCUGCUCGAUCAAUAUGAAGCAUUUAGGAUGAAACCAUGAAAAUCUAUUACUGACAUGUUUAGUCGUUUUACAGAAAUUGUGAAUGGUCUUGAGUAUCAAUGUCAAUCAAUCUCUGGACCCAUGAAUGUUAACAAGCUACUACGUGGACUUUCCAAAGAUUGGAAUCACGUAAAAACCUCAAUAAAUGAGACACAAAGGAUUAUGCCACUCUCUGUUGAUGAAUUGGUUGGCACUCUUUAGUCUUAUAAAGUGGAGCAAAUCAAUGAAGAUGAUGAUCCUAAAGGUAAAAAAAUCUAUUGCAUUAACAUCUAAUGAUGAUUAUGAUGUUACAAAUUCUGAAGACGAUAUGGACGAUGAAGAGCUUGCUCUCAUGAUAAGAAGGUUCAGAAAACUAAAUAAGAAAGGAAGAAGAUUUAAUUCAAAGAAACAUAGCUCACAAAAGUUUCAAAAUAAAUCAGUUGAGGAUGAUGAUUCAAACAAAGAUGUGGUUUGUUUUGAAUGCAAGAAAAAGGGACACAUCAGACCCAACUGUCCCUUACUGAAGAAAAGGAAAUGAAAAGCUGAGAAAUACAGAAACGCUCUCAAGGCAGAAACUUGGAGUGAUACCAAGUGCGAAGAGAGUGAUGAUGAUUAUGCUAAUAUUUUUCUAAUGGCAUAAUUAGACUCAAAUUCAGACUCUGAAACAAACUCAGACUCAGACAGUGAAAUUGAGGUAAGUAAUUUAAAAAUUCCAACUAAAGUCUCUAAAUAUAUUGAUGAAUUGUGUCUUAGUCUCAAAACCUCUCUCAAGAGGAUUUCCGAACUAAAAGAGAAAAUUCAAUACUGAAGCAACAAGAGAAUGUUUGGAAAGAAAAAGUUUAAAAUUUGGAUAAAAGUGUUAUUGCUUUGGAAGAAAAUGCAGACUUACUUUCAAAAGAAAAUGCAUUUUAAAAAAAUGAUAUCUCAAGUACUUCAAAAAGAUUUUCUAUAGGUUCUGAAAAAUUAGAAAAGAUUCUUUUAGAAUAAAAACCUUACUUUAACAAAUCAGGUUUGGGAAUGACUAUUGAAACCAUUCCUCUAAUUGAUUUUCUUAAAGUAAAGGAAAGAAUUAAACAAAGACCUACAAAAGAUUUUUAUAGAAAUCAUUUUCAAAAAAGUCUUUGUAAAACCUGUAGGUUGUAGUGCUCUUAAAUGUUCUAAGUGCAAUAGCUCAGAUCCUUUUGAGAAAGAAUGUCCUAUGGUUCGGAAAUCUGUUAAGAAGGUUUGGGCAAAGAUCGUAUAUUGUACUAACUCCAUUGGACCCAAGAAAGUAUGGGUACCAAAGAAAGCUUGAGUUUCUUUUCUAAAUGUAGGUCACUAUAAAAAAAGAAGAAGGUUAAAUGGUACUUGGAUAGUGGAUGCUCAAAACAUAUGACAUGAGACUCAAAUUGUUUCAUAAAGCUUGUGCAAGUUAAUGGUGGAAAAGUCUCUUUUAGAGGAAAUAACAAAGGCAGAAUUGUGGGUUACGGAACCGUAAAGAUUGAAAGUCUCACAAUCAGUAACGUUUCCUUAGUGAAAAGACUCAACUACAACUUGUUGAGUAUUAGUCAAUUGUGUGACACAGAUUACAAAAUCAACUUCCAAGAAGUAGUAUGUUUAGGAACUAGUAAAGAUUUCUCUCAGACAUUCACGGGGCGAAGACAUGGGAAUAUAUACCUCUUGGAUAUCAAUCCAGAAAAAUCUCAAUGUCUAAUUUCAAUUCAAGAGAAAGCUAAUCUCUGGCAUAGAAAACUUAGGCAUAUCAACAUGAAGCAAAUAGCCAAGAUCUCUGCAAAGAAGCUUGUUUGUGUACUACCCAACCUGACAUAUCAAAAAUCUAAAUUAUGCACACCGUGUGUAUUGGGAAAACAGGUUGGAAACUUUUUCAAACCAAUAAAUCAAGUUUCCACUAAUCAUGUGUUACAGUUCUUACAUAUGGAUCUUUUCGGACCAACCAAAACUCAGAGCAUUGAGGUAAGAAAUAUUGCUUGGUGAUAGUGGAUGAUUAUUCAUGAUUCACUUGGGUAUAUUUCCUAGCAAGUAAAUCUGAAACCUUUUCUUAUUUUAUCAAAUUUGCUAAGAAAGUACAAAAUGAGAAAUGAUAUGUUAUUUCAGGUAUACUGACAGACCAUGGAGGUGAGUUUGAAAAUCAAGACUUUGCUAAAUUAUGUGAUGAAUCUGAUUUUCAGCAUGUGUUCUUCUCACCAUACACUCUAUAACAAAAUGGAGUUAUGGAAAUGAAGAAUAGAUCGUUGCAAGAAAUGGCUAGAACUUUAUUAAUUGAAAGUAACAUUUCCUCUCGUUUUUGGACUGAAGCAGUUUCUACAGCAUGCUAUAUUAUUAAUAGAGUCUUCUUAAGGCCUAUUGUGGAGAAAACUCCUUAUGAGUUGUUCAAAGGAAAGAAGCCAAUUGUUUCAUAUUUUCAUGUGUUUGGAUGCAAAUGUUUUAUAUUGAAAAAUGCAAAUGAUCAAAUUGGUAAGUUUGAAGAAAAAUCAGACGAAUGAAUCUUCCUUGAAUAUUCAACCACCAGCAAAGCUUACAGAGUAUAUAACAAAAAGACUCAAUCUGUGGAGGAAUCGAUGAAUGCCAAAUUCCAAAACUUUAUGCAAUAUCAAUCGAUUCAAACUCAACCUGAAGAAUCUAAACUUGCUCCAGACUCUACAAAGUCUAAAUCUCCAGAAGCAUCUCAAACUUCAGAAGACCAGGAAUGAACGAUUGUUGAAGAAUCAAAUGAAGAAAAAGAUCAACAGUUUGACAAAUCAACCGGUAAUUGGAAGCACAAGUUUAGUCAUCUCAAAGAACUCAUUAUUGGUAACAUCAAUGAGGGAAUUCGUACAAGAUCCAAAAGACGUGAAGAGUCUAGUGCUGUGACUCUUAUUUCUGAAAUAGAACCCAAUAGCAUAAAAGAAGCUUUAUCUGAUGAAAGCUAGAUUGAAGCUAUGCAAGAAGAACUCAAACAAUUCAGUAUCAAUGAUGUCUAGGAAUUGACUCAUAAACUGAAAGGUAAAUCUAUCAUUGGAGCUAAAUGGGUUUUCAUGAACAAGAUGAAUGAGAAAGGAAAAGUCGUAAGGAAUAAAGCAAGACUCGUGGCUAAAGGAUAUACGCAAGAAGAAGGGAUAGAUUAUGAUGAGACUUACGCACUAGUAGCAAGGUUAGAAGCAAUUAGAUUAUUACUUGCUUUUGCGUGUUAUAAGAAUUUUAGGUUAUUCCAAAUGGACGUCAAAAGUGCUUUCCUAAAUGGAUUUAUCCAAGAAGAAGUCUAUGUGGAACAACCUCCCGGUUUUGAAAACCCAAGGAAACCAAACUUUGUAUUCAGACUGAAAAAGACGAUACAUGGUUUAAAGCAAGCACCUCAAGCUUGGUACAACAGGUUAAGUAAGUUUUUAAUUCAAAAUGGCUUUGUUAAAGGUAAAGUAGAUACUACAUUAUUUAUCAAAAGAGAAAGCAAAUACUUUUUACUUGUUCAAAUAUAUGUUGAUGAUAUUAUCUUUGGAUCAUCUAAUGAAAAUCUGUGUAAGAAAUUCUCUAAGACUAUGCAGGAUGAGCUUGAAAUGAGCAUGAUGAGUGAACUAACCUUCUUUCUCAGGCUUCAAAUGAAACAAUUGAAGGAGGGAACUUUUAUUUACCAAGAAAAAUAUGCUAAAGAACUUGUCAAAAAGUUUGGAUUGGAGAAUUGCAAAAAAGACUGAUAUUCCAAUGUCAAGUUCCUCAAAACUGGACAAAGAUGAAGGGGGAAAGAAAGUUGACCAGAAGCUAUAUAGGAGUAUCAUUGGUUCAGUUCUUUAUCUUACUGUUUCUAGACCUGACAUCUUGUUUAGUGUUUGUAUUUGUGCCAGAUUUCAAUCAGAUCCCAAAAAAUCUCAUUUAAGUGUUGCAAAACGCAUCAUCAAAUACGUUGCAUCUACCUCUAAUUUUGGUCUCUGGUAUCCUAAAGAAGGAAAAUUUACUCUUCUUGGAUAUUCAGAUACAGACCUAGCAGGAUGCAUAGUCGAUAGAAAGAGCACCUCAGGCACCUGUCAAUUACUUGGUAACAGGACACUAUCUUGGUUUUUGAGGAAGCAAAGUACCAUAGCUCUUUCUACAACAGAAGCAGAAUAUGUGGCUCCUGGAAGUUGUUGUUCACAAAUCUUAUGGAUAAAGGAACAUCUAAGAGACUUUGGAAUCAAAGACUCAUGCACUAAGAUAAAAUGCGACAACACCAGCGUGAUUAAUCUCACAAAGAAUCAAAUUCUUCAUUUGAGAGCAAAGCAUAUAGAGAUUCGACAUCAUUUUAUUAGAGAUCAUGUUCAAAAUGGAGAAGUCUCGAUUCAAUUCAUUGACUCAAAGAAUCAACUAGCAUACAUAUUUACAAAGCCUUUGGAGAAAAGUCAAUUUGAGCUUAUUCGUUCCAGACUCAAUAUCUUAAAGUCUGAAGAAGUUCAGACUCAGGGAUAAAAGUCUAAAGAUACUCAGACUCAAACGAUCAAGAUUUACGACUGUAAAUUAUUUCUAUUUUAGAAUUUUGUCUGUCGGAUAAAAUCUCGAAAAGGUACGAUCAUCUAUUAAUCUGUAAUUGAUUGAUGUUAUCUUCCCCAGUUUUCGUGAUUAUUGCAAUCAUUCAUUUUCAAAAAGGAGUUAUUUUUGAAAAGACGGUUAUCUAUUCUUUCAAAAAGGCAGUUAUUUUUUAAAAGGCAUUUUCUAAUUUUCCUUUUACGUCAUUUCGUAUGACUCUUUUUGACUGUUUUAUAUACUGAUCGUCUUCCUCACAAGCCCUAAAAAGCACAAACCUUCGUUUUCUUAUUUUUACUCUCUAGUUUAAUCUUCAAAGUUCUCACCUUUUUUGCGAAUCGAGUUUGGAAUCUCUCAAAGACUGUGUGAAUGGCUUCACUAAGAAAGUUUUCAAGGAUCGUGAACAGAGAACCACAACACAUGCGUGAGGGUCCUACACAUUUUGACCUCACCGAGGAAGAAGAAUCCCUAAGAUAGCAGUAAAGCCCACAAUAUUUUCAACCGCAUCAAUCUCCUCAAGCUAGACCUCAAGGUAGUGAUCAUAGAGCGGAGGAAGAAAUCAUUGAAGGCGCAGAACCCGAAAGAUCUCAAAAGCCCGCUUCUAUCUUUAAGCUUUACACUGCCUUGAAGAGGGGAGGCACUCCCUUGAAAUAUAUUGAUGAAUUUUUGAAAGAGAAAAGGAUAUCGAAAUGAAACCCACUUUUUGCGAACAAUGGAAUGAUUGGAGAUUGCUCCUGCGGGGUCAGCAGAUUGAGCAUUUGUGAAUAUUCCUAGCGAUCCACGUGUUGGAGGUCUUAGUCGGCCUGAUGGGAAUGAUGAUGACAAAAUGUACACUCAUUUCAAGCCUAGAAUGGGUGUUGGGGUGAAUAUUCAAAGCAAAAGGACAAAUUUGUUUCGUUCGGAGGAACACAAGCGACUUUACUCCAAGUUACUAAAAAGAGGGGUGAUCAAUUCGAGAAGUGUCAACUUUGAUUUUCUUGAUUCUUUAAAUGUGAAGCUGCGAGAGAAAUUCACUCAACUUCAGCUUGAGCGAUUUUGUUCUGAGACGACAAAGGCAUAUCCGGAACUUACUGCUUACUUCUAUUCUAAUCUAAGUUUUUUGGAUGCGAACAAAUAUUCGUUUAGUGUUCGAGACCAAGACUAUAUCGUUGACAUGGACACAUUGGUGGAUGUGAUUGGAGUAGAGUGAGGGGCAUUCUGAUCGAUUAGUGUGUCUGUUGGUCAUGCGAAGGUAGAGCUUGUUUGGGAUGGAAUGGCUGAAGGAAGAAUUUCAUACUUGAGGAUGAAUGCCUCUAACAUUUUGCUUCACAAGAUCGUGAUCAAUUGCCUCAGACCUAAGUCAACCUCGAAAACCAACAUCUCUAACUCAUAAGCAAAGCUGAUGUAUGCCAUCAACGCUGGCAAGAAGUUCUCUCUGCCUCACACAAUCAUGUUUCACAUGUACAGAACGAUGGUGAAAGACAAAGGGCAACUUCCGUACUCAGCGCUUGUUACAAAGCUUUUCAGACGUUUCGAUAUUCAGCCUCCCAGGAUUCUUUGUGUUCGAUCAUGUGAUCAAAUGGUGGUGGGACUGAAAAUGGUUUCCAAAAUGCGUCUGAAAGAGCUGGAUAAGGCUUUGGAGUGAUUGAAAGAGAAAACCCCUGUCAAGUCUUACCAAGGUUUUUCAGUUGCAAAACGGAAAGGGAAUGAGCACAUGAUAGCUCCAUCCAAGAAAAGAAGAACACUCGUUCUGGAGGAUAAAGAGGAUGAUGACGAAAUUACCAUCUCCACUCUUGCACUUAGAAAUCUACAAGGUGCUGUUCCAGAGACUGAGGAGAGAGAGGAUCAAGACAGAGACGAAGAAGAGGAAAGGAGUGGAGAGAGAGAAACAAUGCGAAAAGAAGCAGAGGAAGAAAAGAUUGCAGAAGAAGAAGAAGGCAGAGGUGAACAGGAGGAAACAGAGCAUGAAGUGUACUUCUCACCUCUUGAGGGCAUUGAAAUAGGGGGAGUUGCUGAGAAAAGAGGUACAUCUUCAAUUGUUGUUAUUAGUGAAGGUGUUAGUCGUUCACCUGCAGAUCCAUAAGACAUCUAUGCCUCUCAAUUCCCUAAGGAAAGUCAUGAGCCUUCUUCGCCAAGUUUGGGUGCUCAUACAUAAAUGCCAUCAUCAGCCAAUACACCUCAGACUGAUCAUGCAGAGGCUAGUACUCAGACUGAUAAUUCAGUAGACUUUCGCAGAGUGUUUGAUGUUCUUAUGGAGAUGCAAGGCCAGAUUUAUGCCCUGAGAUGCGAAGUUCAGAACUUGCAGAAUGCAGGUCAAGCCUCUUUAGUAUGCAAGAUUCAUGCCCUUGCUCUUCAAGUUCAAGCUAAUGCCAAGAGUGAAGAAGUCGCUCAACUGAAAGAAGACUUGAAAAAGCUGGAAGGAAUUGUUCAAUCGAUGGGAGAUUUCCAGCUAGUGAGCAUUCCAGAACAAUCCUAAUUCCAUUAUCUUUUUAUCUCUACCUUUUUUUAAUGCUAACAAAAAGGGGGAGAGAUGUUGCAGAUUUGAGAUUUAACUCUUGACUUUUUUACUUUACUUUUGUUUCGUUGUUUGGUUGUGACUGUAUUUGGAUUUGGAUUGUUUGAUCGUUUGUUUAUUUGAAGCACUAUUGGUAUUUCAUGGCAAAGAUAGUUGUUUAUUUAUAGGAUUAACUUAUUUCUUGUGGAUGCAAAUUUAAUGCUGUCUUUACUAAGCCAAUUAUCUUUUGUGAGAUAUCCAUGUUUGCUUGAGUAUUGUUUUGCAAGUCAAAAAUAUCCAAAUCUGCAGGAAAGUUCACCAUCAAAAAGGGGGAGAUUGUUGGAGAAAACUUCUUUGAGUGUUUUGAAGCUGACAAAACGUUUCCAUUAGCCUAGUCUGAAGACUUGCAGACUCUUUCGUCAAAGUUUGAAGACUGCCGAACCUCCACACUUAAGAUUCAAAGUCUAUCCUCAUUGACAGUUUCCAGACUGUCGAAGAAGACUUAUCCAGAGUUGAGUAUUUCGUUAAGGAUUUGAUUCUAUCGACUGAAGAAGAUCUCUCAGUUGGAUAUAGCAUCUUGGAAUCUAUUAUUCGUUUUGAUUUCAAUUCGAGGUAAUUUAGAUCCAUUGAUUGACAAAGUAUACUUGGAAGGUUCUACUUAUGGAAACCUAAAUCCUGAUUUUAUGGGCGAGCAAGAUUGGUGGGCUAUCGUCAUAUUCCCUAAAUAACUCAAAAUCUCCCUAAUUGAUUCUGUCCAACGGGUAGAUUGGAAGAGCUUCUUUAGUAAGUGUCAACGGGUAUGAAGGCAUGGAGGAGUAUAUAAGGAAGACGUUCCGGUUAUUCGAGUGUGUGCGCAAUAGAAGAAUUCCAAAGUCUGAAGCUCCUUGUUUUUUGUCAAUUUAAUUGUUGAGCGAAAACUUGUACUCAAAAGAGAGUUUAUACUUCCGUGAGACCUUGAGGAAGUGUAGCAGAGUCUCUACACUAUGGAAUCAAAUGAAGAGUUAUACUGUAAUAACUCUUUUGAUUCUUAUUGAAAUCCAGCCAGUGGGCUGUUAAUGCGGAAGAGUGGACGUAGGCUUAGAUUAAGCUGAACCACUAUAAACCUUGUGUUCUUAUUCUCUUCCUUAAGCCUUUUUACUUUGAUCAUAACUCUAUUUGAUUAUUAGAGUCUAAUUUCCUUUUCAUAAUCUAUUGCUAAAUAGAGUUGGUUUAAAAGCAAAAUUAUAUACUUUACUUUGCAAAAUUUGUUUUCGCACCUAUUCACCCCCUCUAAGUGCACGUACUAGCUUUUACACAAAUAUUCGAAGCAAAAUGACAGACUUGUUUUGCUUGGAGGAACAAAAACGACUUUACUCCAAGUUGCUAAAAAUGGGGUGAUCAAUUCGAGAAGUGUAGACUUUGGUUUUCUUGAUUCUUUGAAUGUGAAGCUGCGAGAGAAUUCACUCAACUUCAGCUUGAGCAAUUUUGUUCUGAGACGACAGAGGCAUAUCCAAAACUUGCUGCUUAUUUCUAUUCUAAUAUGAGUUUCUUGGAUGCGAAUAGAUUUUAUUUUAGUGUUCGACACUAGGACUAUAUUGUUGACAUCGACACAUUGGCGGAUUUGAUUGGAGUAGAGCAAGGGGCAUUCCAAUCGAUUAGUGUGUCUGUUGGCCGUGCAACGGUAAAGCUUGUUCGUGAUAGAAUGGUAGAAGGAAGAAUUUCAUACUUGAGGAUGAAUGCCUCAAACAUUUUGCUUCACAAGAUCGUGAUCAAUUGUCUCAGACCUAAAUCGACUUCAAAGACCGACAUCUCCAACUCAAAAGCAAAGUUGAUGUAUGCUAUCAACGCUGGGAAAAAGUUCUCUCUGCCUCACACAAUCAUGAUUCACAUGUACAGAACAAUGGUGAAAGACAAAGGACAACUUUCUUACUUAGCGCUUGUCACAAAGUUGUUCAGACAUUUGAAUGUUUAGCCUCCUAGGAUUCUGUGUGUUCGAUCUUGUGAUCAAAUGGUAAUGGGACUGAAAAUGGUUUCCAAAAUGCGUCUGAAAGAGCUGGACAAGGCUUUAGAGCGAUUGGAGGAGAAAACCCCUGUCAAGACUCACCAAGGUUCUUCAGCUGCAAAACGGAAAGGGAAGGAGCCCAUGACAGCUCCAUCCAAGAAAAGAAGAGCACUCAUCCUAGAGGAUGAAGAGGAUGAGGACGAUAUUACCACUUCUACUCUUGCUCUGAGAAAUCUACAAAGUGUUAUUCCAGAGACUGAGGAGAGAGAGGAUCAAGACAGAGGAGAGUUCAACCAAAGAAAUGGAGAGAGAGAAACAAUGCAAAAAGAAGCAGAGGAAGAAAUGAUUGCAUAAGAAGAAGAAGGCAGAGGUGAACAGGAGGAAACAGAGCAUGAAGAGUACUUCUCAUUUCUUGAAGGCAUUAAAACAGGGGGAGUUGCUGAGAAAAUAGGUACAUCUUCAAUUGCUUUUACUAGUGAAGGUGUUAGUCGUUCACCUGCAGAUCCAGAAAAAAUCUAUGCAUCUCAUUUUCUAGAAGAAGGUCAUGAGGUUUCAUCGCCAAAUCUGAGUGAUCAUGCUGGCUUGCCAUCAUCUGUAAAUACUCCUACUGAUCAUGUAGAAGCUAGCACUCAGACUGAUAAUUCACCAAACUUUCAAAGACUGCUUGAUAUUCUUAUAGAGAUGCGAGGACAGAUCUAUGCCAUGGGAUGCGAAGUUCAGAAUUUGCAGAAUGUAGGUCAAGCCUCUUCAGUUUCCUUACAUGAUCAAAUCCAUGCCCUUACUCUUCAAGUUCGAGCAAAUGCCAAGGGUGAAGAAGUGGCUCAACUGAAGGAGGAUUUGAAAAGGCUGGAAGGGAUUGUCCAGUCGAUGGGAGAUUUCUAGCUCAUUCGCGUUCCCAAGCAAUCCUAAUUUCAUUAUCUUUUUGUCUCUACCAUUUUCAUGUUGACAAAAAGGGGGAGAUGUUGCAGAUUUGAGAUUUAAUUCUUGUUUAACUUGAUGUUUGAUUGACUUUUUUACUUUUGUUUAGUAGUUUGGAUGUGACUGGAUUUGGAUUGUUUGAUCGUUUGAAUAUUUGCUGCAGUAUCUUAAGUACUAUUGGUAUUUCAUGGCAAAGAUAGUUGUUUGUUUAUAGGACUAACUUUAUUAUUUCCUGUGGAUGCAUAUCUAAUGAUAUCUUUACUAAGCCAAUUAUCUUUGUGAAAUAUCCAUGUUUGCUUGAGUAUUGUCUUGCAAGUCAAAAGUAUCCAAAUCUGCAGAAAAAUUUUGUCACCAUAAAAAAAUGGGGAGAUUGUUGGAGAAAACUUCCGUAUCUAUUUUGAAGCUGACAAAACGUUUCCAUCAGUCUAGUCUUAAGACUUGUAGACUCUUUCGUCAAAUUCUAAAAACCACCAAACCUCCAGACUCAAGAUUCAAAGUCUACCCUCGUUGAUAGUUUCUAGACCGUCGAAGAAGACUUAUCCAGAAUUGAGUAUUUCGUUAAGGACUUGAUUCUAUCGACUGAAGAAGAUCUCUCGGCUAGAUAUAGCAUCUUGGAAUCUAUUAUUCAUUUUUAAUUUGGGUAAUUUAGAUCCGUUGAUUGGCGAAGCAUACUUGAAAGGUUCUACUUAUGGAAACUUAGAUCCUGAUUGUAUGGGCGAGCAGGAUUGAUGGGCUAUCGUCAUAUUCCUUAAAUAACUCGAGAUCUUCCUAAUUGAUUAUGUCCAAUGGGUAAAUUGGAAAAGCUCAUUUGGAAAGUGCCAACGGUUAUGAAGGCAUGGAGGAGUAUAUAAGGAAGAUGUUCUAGUUAUUCAAAUGUGUGCGCGAUAGAAGAAUUCCAAAGUCUGAAGCUCCUUGUUAUUUGUCAAUUCAAUUGUUGAGCAUAAACUUGCACUCAAAAUAGAGUUUAUACAUUUGUGAGACAUUGAGGAAGUGUAGCAGAGUCUCUACACUGUGGAAUAAAGGACGCGAUACUGUAACGAUUCUUUUGAUUCGUAGUGAAAUCCAGCUGGUGGGCUAUUAGUGCGGGAGAGUGCAUAUAGGCUUGGAUUAAGCCGAACCACUAUAAACCUUGUGUUCUUAUUCUCUUCCCUGAACUCUUUUACUUUACUGAUAACUUUAUUUAACUGUUAGAGUCUCAUUUCUAUUUUAAAGUCUACUAUUAAACAGACUCAGGUUAAACUUAAAGUUUUACUAUAUCCUUCACAAAAAUUUGUUUUCACAUCUAUUCACCCCCUCUAGGUGCUCAUACUAGCACUCUCACAAAGCAGAGUGAAGCUUCUAGAUAUCAUACUCCAUUCCAUAUUGCUAUGAUUUUAUCUCUAGAAAGAGCUUAAGCAACCUUUGAAAGUCUGCAUUAGAUUCUAUUUGCACACUAGCCUCAGUGCGUUGAGUUUGUGGAGUGUUGAUAGAUGACGGAACUUCAGCUUCAGAAAUGAGAGGCAUAGACCUCUUUUGGAUCGACAGGAGAUCGAUUGAUAUCAUCACUCACAAAGUGCUGAGAAGAAGUCCCUGUGUCCACACAAGCUCUCCCUGUUUUGGUGCCUACAGGUGGAGAAGGGAUUUCUCCUUCUUGAGUCUUCUCGAUUUCAUAUUGAGAGUGAUGUUCUUGUUCUAUUCUUUCUCCUACUUGUCCACUACUAGUAGCUUCUGAAUCCUCAGAUAAGGAUAUUGCAAUUGUUACUUCAUAGGAGUCAUCCUGACCCUCUUCUGCUACACAUUCUCUUCCCGCUUCUUCUCUUUCCUCUAUUUCUUCUCUGGCUUCUCUUCCUUCUUCUCUUUGCUCUGUGUCUGCUCUUUCUCCUGCUUCUAUCUCCUUUGGUCCAACAAAACUUUCAAGAUUCUUCAAGGCAAAGGAAGAGAUAGUGAGAUCAUCAUCAUCCUCUUCGUCAUGUAGGAUGAGGGAUCUUCUCUUCUUGACAGGUUCUUUCAUAACUUCUUUGCCUUUCCUUUUCCUUGUAGUAGAUUCUUCCUUUGUUUUGCUAAGAGAUUCCUUCUUCAAGCGCUCUAUGGCCUUGCUCAGAUCUUUCAACCUCAUCUUCGAAACCAUGUUCAAUCCUAUAACCAUAGGAGCAACAGUUCGAGUGCAAAGAGAGGCGGGAAACUCGAUCUGAAAAUGUCUGAACAAUUUUGUGACUAGCACAGAGUAAUGCGGCUAUCCCUUAUCCUUUAUAAUAGUCCUAUACAUGUGCAUUAGGAUUGUAUGAAGGAAUGAGAACUUCAUGCCAUUGGAAAUAGCAAACAUAAGUCUUGCUUCAAACCUUGAAAUAUCAGUUUUUAAAGCAGCUUUGGGUCUGAUGCAAUUGAUCACAAUUUUAUGUAGCAAGACAUUUGAGGCAGACAGUCUGUAAUAAGUAAUGCCUCCUUUGGGUAGUCUGUCCCUAACAAGAAAUCUUGUUGCAUGACCAAUCAAGACACUUAUUGGUUGGAAACCACCCAUUUCCACUCCAAUAAUGUCAGUCAAUGUAGCAACAUCUACCAGAUAGUCCUUAUCACUCAAAGUGAAUUUGAAGUGAUUCUGAUCAAGAAAAGAAAUGUUUAAAUAGAAAAAGACAAUUAACUUUGGAUACACAACAAUUGUUUUGGAGCAGAAGUUUUCUGUUAGGGAAAUCCCUUAUGAUGUUUUGAAGAUGACAAAAUAAAUCAAAGGCUACUAACAUGUUUAAUGGUUAAGUAAUAGACCAUGCAGAUGAUAGAAUAUGUAAAGGAUAUUGUCAAAGUGUGGAGACGGCCAGAAGACUGAACGUAACAUAUGUCCAAAGUAUAUUCUGAAGAUUUCCAGACUUUUGUGUCAAAGUCUGAAGACUGCCGUGUCAAAGUCCGAAGAUUGCCAGACUGCCGUGUCAAAGUCUGUUCUACAUCAGAAGUCUGCCCACUCUGACAAAUUCCAGACUGAACGUGAAUGAUGAACCAGAAGACAGACUCUAUGCUGAAGCUGAACUGGGUACAGACCUUAAAGCUAAAUCUGUUCAGAAGCAGAAUAUGUUCAGACCCAGAUUGUAAAGUCUACAGACUCAGACUGUAAAGUCUAUUGCUCUCAGACUUUACAUCCAGACUCAACAGAACGUAACUCAAGCCCAAUCAUAUAACGGCUAGUGAUCUGGUUUGGAUUCCACAUCAAGAUUGAUUUGAUUGAUUCAAUCUAAUUGAUUGACAAUUGGAUGUUGAAGACAAGAUCUUUCUAUACGAAGAAGCUUUACUUAUGGAAACCAAGAUUCUGUUUGUAUGGGCGACCGGAAUCAAUUUGGGAUUCUACCUUUGUCACUCAACGGCUACCAAAUCUUCUAGAUACAGAGCUGCCCAAUGGGUAUAUUGGAAGAUGAUUCUUCGGGAUGCUGUCCAACGGUUAGUUUGGAAGUGGAGGAGUAUUUAAGGAGAUGAAGGACCGAUGAGCAAGUAAGAGACGGAGCGUAGAAUUUAUAAUUCCAAAGUCUGAGCGACUUUCGAUCAUAUACUUGUCUCUUGAGAGCUUAAACGUUUGUAAUCGUGAGAGAAAUACCAAAAGAGUGACUUAGUGAGAUAGUGUGAUCUACUACUAAGUGUUUGCACUCGAAGUUAUAAUCUCUUGUUGAUUGCAUAGUGGAAUCCAGCCAAGAAGGCUGUUAGCGUGGGAGAGUGGACGUAGGCUUGGAUUAAGCUGAACCACUAUAAAUCUUGUGUUCUUAUUCUCUUCCCUAACUUCUUUAUUUUGUUCAUACUAGCACUCUCAUUUUCAAGUUGAAGGUGAGCCAAUUUUUCUCUCAAAUUCACUUGGAUUAAGUCCAAGAAAUCAAAGUCGACCAAUCAAGGGUUCAUCAACCAUCUUUUCAACAAUUGGGCGUAAACCCUUCUGUGAUCCUUAGAACGAAAAAGCUUCAUUCCAUCACCAAGCAUUUCAGCAACAAUGCCCAUCCUCGAUUGAAAAUUCAAGUACAUUUUCUCAUCAUCAUCUUUUCUUUUAGGCUGAUUGAAAGAGCUAAAUCUAUGAUCAACAGGAAAGUUAGAGAAAGCCUCAUCUGCUGCUCCUUUCUUUGCUAUUCCUAAUCAUUCCAUUGUUCUCGGAAACAACGUUUCAUUCUUAUAACCGUGGUCCCUCAUAAAAUCGGUAAUGAAAGACAUUGGCGAACCACUUGUUUUCAAACAACUAUAGAGCUUGUAUAGAACUUGGGGAGUCAAGGUACGAAGAGGAACGGCAUCUUGCUCAACUUCCUCUUCCAACGGUUCACGAGGAGGAUUCUGCGAAGUGUCCUUCGGGUUGUGUUAUGGAGGUGUUUGAGGAGAGCCUUCUUAUGUAAGAUCGAAGUGAGUCUGCCCUUCUGGCAUAUUCCUAGGCCCUUUGCCUUUGAUCCGGGAUGAUUUCCUUUGGUAAGACAUUCUUGCAAGUAAGGAGGAUUUCUCAGACAGGUUCGGGUGAAAAUGAUGGAAACUUGCGGAACAAACUUGAGAGUAGAGACGAGAGUGUAAAGACAAGAGAGUAGAGAGUUUGUAUCUUAAGGUUUUGAAAAGAAGUGCUCGAGAGAAUUACAAGAGGAUAUAUAAAGAAGAUGAAAUGUCACAAAGAAAAUAAUCGAACCGUCAUAAGGAAAAAACAAAACUACCUUUUUGAAAUAAAUUGAAAAUAAAAACUGCCAAAAAUUCAAUAAUUCGAAAUAGAUGACUUCUAAAAAUAAAAUAGGCAAGCAAUGAUUCGGUUAAACAUACAUUUUCAUUCCAAAAUAAAAUACAUGGAUUCAAGACAUUCUCUUACUGAAGUAGCAUAUGGAAAUUCUGAGUUUGGCCAACUUUAGACUUUACUCCAAAGGAUAAAUAAUGUUCAAUUUGAUGCGAAUGGACUCAAAUAGAUUUUUCUCCAUAAGCUUUGUAAAGAUGUAUGCCAGCUUAUUCUUUGAAUCAAUGAACUGAAUCAAAAUUUAUCCAUUAUGGACAUGAUCUCUUAUAAAAUGAUGUCGAAUUUCUAUGUGCUUCACCCUUGAUUGAAGAAUUGGGUUCUUAGUGAGAUUAAUGGCAGUGGUGUUGUCAUAUUUGAUCUCGGUACAUGAUUCUUCUAUUCCAAACUCUCUUAGCUAUUGUCUUAUCCAAAGAAUUUGAGAACAACAGCUUCCAAGAGCCAUAUAUUUUGCUUCUGCCAUUGAUAGAGCUACAAUACUUUACUUCCUUGAAAACCAAGAUACCAAUAUAUUUCCAAGUAAUAAGCUCUAGAAGUGCUCUUUCUAUCCACUUUACAUCCUGCUAAAUCUGCGUUUGAAUAUCCAAAAAGUGUAAAGUCUCAUUCUUUUGGAUACCAUAGACCCAGGUUUGGAGAGGUCGCAACAUAUUUAAUGAUGUGUUUUGCAACGCUUAAAUGAGACUCUCUAGGAUUAGACUAAAAUCUAGUACAGAUGCAAACACUAAACAAAAUGUCAGGUCUAGAUGCAAUAAAGUAAAAAAGUGAACCAAUCAUGUUUCUAUAGAGCUUCUAAUCUACUUUCUUCCCUUUCUCAUCAUUGUCCAAUUUCGAAGAACUUGACAUUGGUAUUUCUGUCUUUUUGUAAUUCUCUAACCCUAAUUUCUUGAUCAAAUCUUUGGCAUAUUUUUCCCAAUGAAUAAGUAUACCUUCCUUCAACUGUUUAACUUGCAAUCCUAAAAAGAAUUAACUCACCCAGCAUGCUCAUCUCGAAUUCAUCUUACAUAAACUUUGAAAAUUUCUUGCAUAGAUUUUCAUUAAGAGAACCAAAGAUAAUAUCAUAUACAUAAAUUUGUACUAGUAAAAAUUAUUUUCCUUUUCUCUUAAUGAACAAAGUAAUAUCUACUUUCCCUUUUUCAAAACCGUUUUGAAUUAGAAACUUACUCAACCUUUCAUACCAAAAUCGAGGUGCUUGCAUCAGUUCAUACAAAGCCUUUUUCAGUCUGUAGACUGCUUUGGCUUUCUUGGAUCUUCAAAUCCUGGUGGUUGUUCCAUAUAAACUUCUUCUUGAAUGAAUCCAUUCAAGAAGACACUCUUUACAUUCAUUUGGGAUAACCUAAAAUUUUUAUAGCAAGCAAAAGCAAGUAAUAAUCUAAUUGCUUCUAACAUCGCUACUGGUGCGUAGGUCUCGUCAUAGUAUAUCCCUUCUUCUUGUGUAUAUCCUUUGGCCACGAGUCUUGCUUUGUUCCUAGCGACUUUUCAUUUCUCAUUCUUGUUCCUAAAGACCCAUUUUAUCUUGAUUAUAGAUUUACCUUUAGGUUUUGGAAUCAGUUCCCAAAUAUCGUUGAUGUUGAGCUGUCUAAAUUCUUCUUGCAUAGCUUCUAUCCAGCUUUCAUCAGACAAAGCUUCAUCUACACUUUUUGGUUAUAUUUCAGAAACAAGUGUUAGAGCACUCGACUCUUCUCAGUUUUUGCAUCUAGUUCGAAUUCCCUCAUCAAUGUUGCUAAUGAUGAGUUCUUUGGGAUGACUUGAUUUGUGCUUCCAGUUGCUGCUUGGUUUGGAAGUUUGUUGAUCUUCAGUUUCGGUUGAAACUUCUUGAUCAGUAUGUUGCUAUUCUCCAGAAGUUUGAACCUCUUCGGGGGAAGUGGACUUUAUAAAGUCUAGAACGGGUUUAGACUCUUGAAGUUGAGUCUGGUUUGGAUGAUUCUCCUCAAAUUUGGCAUUUAUGGAUUCUUCCACGGACUGAGUCUUCUUGUUAAAGACCUUGUAAGCUUUGCUUGUAAUCAAAUAACCAAGGAAGAUUCCUUCAUCUGAUUUCUCCUCGAACUUUCCAAAUCGAUCAAUAGGAUUCUUCAAAAUAAAACAUUUACAUCCAAAGACAUAGAAGUAACAAACAUUCGGUUUCUUUCCUUUGUACACUUCAUAAGGAGUUUUCUCUAGGAUAGGCCUCAAGAACACUCUAUUGAUGAUGUGGCAAGCUAUAGAAAUUGCUUCUGCCAAAAAACGAGAGGAUAUAUUGCUCUCAAUUAAGAGGGUUCUGGCCAUCACCUAUAAGGAUCUGUUUUUCCUUUCCACAACCCCAUUUUGUUCUAGAAUAUAUGGAAAAGAGAAAACAUGCUGAAAACUAGAUUCAUAACAAAACUUCGCAAAGUCCUAAUUCUCAAACUCACCUCCAUGGUCAGUUUGUAUGCUUGAAAUAGCAUAACCUUUUUUCAUUCUGAACCUUCUUUGCAAAUUUUGAGAAGUAAGAGAAGGCUUCAGACUUAUUUGCCAGAAAGUAAACCCAAGUGAAAUGAGAGUAAUCAUUUACAAUUACUAGGCAAUAUUUCUUUCCACCAAUACUCUGAGUUUUGUUUGGUCCAAAGAGGUCCAUAUGCAGAAGCUAGAAAGCUUGAUUGGUAGAAACUUGAUUUACAGGUUUAAAGAUACUUCUAACCUGUUUUCCCAAAACACAUGGAGUGCAUAGUUCUGACUUUUGAUAAGCAAGGUCGGGAAGAGCACGAACAAGCUUCUUAGAAGAAAUUUUGGCAAUUUGCUUCAUGUUGACAUGACCAAGCUUUCAAUGCCAGAGACUAGCUUUGUCUUGAAUAGAUAUAAGGCACUGAGAACUUUUUGGGUUUACAUCCAGAAGAUAAAUAUUUCCAUGCCUUCACCCAGUGAAAGAUUGGGAGAAGUCUUGACUCGUCCCAGAACAAAUGCCUUCUUGGAAGUUGAUUUUGAAUCCAGUGUCACAAAGCUGGCUUAUACCGAGUAGAUUGUAGUUCAAACCUUCCACCAAAGAAACAUUGUUGAUAAUCAGGCUUCAAAUCUUCAUAGUUCCACAACCUACAAUUAUUCCCUUAUUGUUUCCUCCAAAAGAAAUUUUUCCUCCAUUCAAUCUAACAAGCUUUAUAAAGUAACUUGAGUCCCCUGUCAUGUGCCUCGAACAGCCACUACCCAAAUACCCUUUGAUUUUCCUUUUGAUAGUGACUUGCAAUUAUAAAAAGAACUCAAAUUUUCUUUGGUACCCAGACUUUCCUGGGUCCAGGAGAGUUAGUAUUAAAGACAGUCUUUGCCUAGUUCUUUUUAAUAGGUCUCCAAACUUUGAGACAUUCUUUCUCACAAUGUUCUAAGUUGUUACACUUUGAACAUUUGAGUGCACUUCGGCCAACAGGUUUUACAAAAACUCUUUGAAAAUGAUUUUUGUUAAAUGCCUUUAUAGGUCUUUGUUUGAGUCUCUCUUUUACUUUGGGAAAAUCAAUCAAUGGAAUGGUUUCUAAAAUCAUACCCAAACCAGAUUUAUUGAAAUACGGUUUUUGUACUGAAAUUUUUUUUUCAACUUUUCAAAUCCUUUUGAAAAUAUUUUUGAAAUAUUUGAGAGGUCUUGUUUCAGACUAACAUUUUCCUUAGCAAGAGAAUCAGAAUUUUCUUUUAAAUUAACAAAAAUUUCAUCUAAACUUUCAAAUUUUUCUUUCCAAUAAUUUUUUUUUGGUAAAAGGUAAUAAUAUAGAGGAAAUGUCAAAAGUACAAAAAAAAAAAAACACGGCAACAAAAAAUGACACUCAAGAUGAAUAAACAUAAUGAGUAGAAGUAUGCCAUGCUGUAAAACACAAGGCAAUGCCUAAAAGAAGGCAAACAGCAAGUUAGAAAGGCACGGCAUGAACAACCGGCAAAGAAACAAACACCUCAGCGCAGGAGGAGAGACGUCGGCACUAGAGCACUAGAGCACUAGCAUUUCCUUGAAGUGUCGAUUGAAACCAGGGUCGAUUACGGGUCUCCCGAGAAGAUAAUGGGAUCGAUGCCCCAACUCCUUUGCAACCUUCCGUUUCUAAAGCUAUCCUCAACGUUUCCGAAGGUGCUAGCUCUAUCCCUAACCACCUUUAAAAGAUGGUUCUUCAUAGCCGGGACGGUAAGGGGUUGUUCUCUGAAUAGGAUGUUAUUCCUAUGUUUCCAAAUAAUGUGACAAAGAGCCCCAAGGGAAAAGCGAGCAAUGCAUUUAGAGAAGUCCUUACCCUUCGAGAAAAAGGUGACCCACCGGAGAUUCUCUCCCCAAGACCUAUUCUGCCAAGGUAGAUUGCAUCUCACCGCCCAAAAGAAAGCAACACUGGCCGUGAUAGAGUAAUCAAAAAACAAAUGAUUUAAGGAAUCAGGCAAUCCAUUACAGAACGCGCAUGAUCCCCUCUCUGUUCUACCAUGAGCCAAUAACAGAGAUUGUGUGGGCAAUCUGUGCUUGGCCAUAAACCAAAGGUUAAGCUGAUACCUUGGCGUGAUUGCAUUAUCCCAGAUGAAAUCAUGCCAAAAAAUGAUGUUCCGCAUGCUCCUGAUGGUUUCCCAAGCAUUUUCUACCGUGAACUAGUCCGACAGGUUCUCCCGCUAGCAACAGCAAUCCGCUACUUGAGUAGGGGUUGGAAGAGGAUAAUCCCAUGACUCAAGGAUUGUUUUGAGAGCCUAGCUAGCAUCAAAGAAAAGAUCUGCAACUGAGGCCUAUCUAGAUAAUCCUGAGCUGUAGAAAAGCGAGUCUGAGAAGAUUAAAUUCAGUGGUCCCCUAGGGUGCCAGUUGUCAAACCAAAGAGAGACCGAGUGGCCAUCCCCAAUCCUCCAAAAGAAGGCAUUUCAAAAUUCGCUCCUGAGACUUAGAAGCUUCUUUCAGGCCCAGGAACAACAGGUUGGCUUCCUAGCAACCUAAAAGUUUUUGUCCUUUAAAAACGUGGAAUGAACCCACUUGCACCACAAAGCUUCUUUAUCUGAGAAUAAGAGCCAUAUAAGUUUCAACAUGGCAGCCUUGUUGCAAUCUUUAAGCCUCCUGAUAUCAAGCCCUCCUUCGUUCUUUAGAAGGCAUACAUCCUCCCAGGCAACCUUGGCACCCCCUCUACCUAGCUUCGAGCCUUUCCAAAGGAAUUGUAUGAGGAUUUUCUCAAUCUAAUCUAGAACAGCUAUAGGUAGAACAAAAACACUCGCCCAAUAGGCUUGGAUAACUUGAAGAACUGACCUGAUGAGUUGCAAUCGCCCAGCCAAAGAAAGGAAGCGAUGAGUCCAAGAUUGAAUCCUCGUCGUGAUGCGGUUGACGAGAGUGCAACAAUCAACCUUAGUGAGCCUUGAUGUAAUGAUAGGAACCCCCAAAUAGUGAGCCGACAAGUUACCUUCGUGAAAACCCAACUCAAAGAUAAUUUGGUUUCUUAAGGACGGCGUGCCUCCAACAAGGAAGAUUUCACUCUUAUUUGGAUUUGGGAACAAGCCAUUCCAAGUAGAGAAGGUUUGAAGGCCUUCUUUAAGAAUAGAUAUAGUGGGCAAUUCCGCCUCCGAAAACAAGAAGACGUCAUCCGCAAAGAAAAGAUGUGAAAGGCUCAUGGGCUUGCAUCUCCAGAAGAACUUAAACUCCGGCUUCAAAGAGCAUCUAUAUAAGAUCCCUGAUAGGACUUCCAUCACUAAGGUAAAUAAAUAAAGAGAAAUAGGAUCACCUUGAUGAAGUCCACGACCACUCAUGAAGAUUUCAUGAAUCUCCCCAUUCAAAGCAAUCAAGAACUUAGGAGUGCGAACACACGUCAUAAUCAGCUGAGUUAUAAUCUCAGGGAAACCAAAAGCCAAGAGGGCUCUCUCAAGGAACUCCCAAUUGACCGUGUCAUAAGCUUUUCUAAAGUCCACGUUGAUUGCACACUUAGGCAAGUAUGGUUGAAGAUGAAAGCCGGAAAAGAGCUCUUAGACUAGCAAUAUAUUAUCUCUGAUCCUUUUGCCCUUCACAAACGCAUUUUGAAAAUGGCUAAUGAUGUCCUUCAAGACUGCUGCUACCCGAUUGGCCAACACUUUGGUAAUACACUUAUAGAUAGUGUUGCAACAGGCAAUGGGCCUAUAAUCCUCAAUUGAAGACGCAUUCAGCACUUUCGGCACCAACACCAAAAUGGUGUUAUUGAUCUCCCUUAGGAGCCUCCCGAAGGAGAAGUCCAACACUACUGCAGUAACCAGGUGCCCUACAGUGUCCCAAUUUUCUUUAAAGAAUUCGACCGUGAAGCCAUUUGGUCCCUGUGCCUUACCCCUACCUAGAGAGAAUAAAGUAUCCCGGAUCUCCAAUUCCAUAACCGGACGAGCUAGGAAACUAACUUGAUCAACCGAGAGAGGAUGCUGGAUUAUUUCGCGAAUCUCCUCCACUGAAGGUCUAUCUAGUUGUGCUUACGGCACUAAGAGGUCUUGAAAGUGUUGAAGAAAGCAUUGCUAAAUCCGCUGUAGAUCAGAGAUAACAUUCCCCUCUGAAUCCUAGAUAGAAGGAACUCUAUUCUUCAAUUGUCUCUUUUUGACAUACUGAUAGAAGAACUUAGUAUUGCGGUCUCUCUCUUUGAGCCACCUGACUCUUGACUUAUGCCUAAAGAAAGACUCCUCCAUGGACUUUAGCCUAGCAAAGACACGUCGUUGUUCCUUUUCCAGCUUAGCUAGAUGAGUAGAAGCAGGCUCCUACAGCAACUCCACCUGCAUGGUCUCUAGGGCCAUCCUUGCCUCCGACGUUCUGACUAAGAUGUCAGAGAAAGAAACUCUAUUUAGAGUCUUAAGUCAUUGUUUGAGAGCCUUCAUGCUUACAUACAAGUCUAAACAUAGGAACUCCUUCCAUAGGGAUUUCCCAAACUUGAGAAACAAUAGCAUUGAACUUCGGAUGCUUCAUCCAAAAGUCAUAAAACUUAAACAGCUUCCUCCGAGGAAUCGGGUUAAGCACCUUGACCACCAUAGGAGUGUGAUCGGAUACCCGGCGCUAGGAAGGAAGCUUCAAAGUAUGAGAAUUCAUAGCUCCAUUUACAAUUCACUAGAACCCUAUCGAUCUUCCUUACCUUUCUGGUAAAGCCCACUGAAGUUGUCCAAGUGUAUCUGAAUCCUACAUACCUGAGGUUUUUGAGUUCCGCCUAUGCCAAGCACUGUCCAAACUCGUUGAAACAUGGUAUCCAAGCAUCGGAUCCACCGACCUGGUCAGACAGGUCUUUAAUUGCAUUGAAGUCUCACAUCACAAGCCAGGCCGAGUUUUGCAAAGCAAUACUUCUAAGAACAAGAUCCUCCCACAGAGUUCUCCUAAGUGUGAACGUGUGCUCGCCAUAAACCACUGACACGCAGCAAGCCACUCCAGAGUCCAACCAUUUAAGGUUCCCAUGCUCAACUUGAGCUAAAAUAGAGAGAACUUCCAAGCUAACCCAAGCUGGGUCCCAUCCAACCCAAAUCCUACCCCUAGGGAAGAACUUAUAGUUUGAGAUUCAAGACCAAUCUCUCAAUAAGAUCCCAGAGAUGGAAUUGAAGUCAUUUUGUGGAACCUUCGUUUCCAAUACACCAAUCAAACACAACUGGUUUGAGAUAGCCAAGCUUCGAACCUCAGCCUGUCUGGUGGGGUUAACAAGACCCUUCACAUUCCAACAACCUAUAUACAUAUAUACAAAUAAAGAGAAACGGGAUUACUUCCUCGUCAACAGCUUGCACCGACUGAAAGGUGGAGUAGGCCGAAAGGAGCGAGGUGGCAGAUCAUGAAGGAGCUUUUGGAGAUGGGAAGGGGGGUAACGGGUCAUCUGAGCUGGCAAUUCGGUUUGCUGAUCCAUCUGACUCCUCCCCAGGGCUCACCGGCUCUAUCGAAUCUUCACUAGGACUAAUCGGCUCCUCUUCGGCUAAGGGGGCAUGUGCUUCCUAUAACGAGCUGUGACAUCCUAGGGCGUCACGUACUAAGCGCAAGCAGAAUUAUAAUUAUUAUUGACAUCUAGUAAACUCCUUUGAAUAACAUAUAGUAUUUACCAUUGAAGGUUAGCAUGUAUAACAUGGAUUAUUUAAAAUCCUAAAUUUAUAUUACAAGGUUAUCCUGCAAUGCACAUAGACAAGAUCAUAAAAGGCUUCCUUUCAUUUUAUCAUCAUCAGGGCAUACAAAAUUAUCGACCUGGACUCAUUCCAUGUCCUUCACCUAUAUAUUUACAUCAUAUACAAAACAAAAGUAAGGCGCAACAAAAGCCAGGGAUAUGGGUGAGGUAUCUACUCCACGAGUUCCCACACUAGCCGGCAUCUAACAAAAAAACAAAAGUUAGUCAGCCUCUACACGAUCCAAGGCGUCUAGGCGCUGUCCAUCCCCGCUCCAGGUCCUCCUGCUCCAAAGGGUAAAGGUCCAAACAUCUCCCCUUCAUGGUUGAUAAACCAUGCAACGAACGUCAUCGGUAUCAACUCAGCCCUACCGUCAUCCAUCCAUAAAGUCGCCUCAUACUUGGAGAAAACCAUGUCAAUGUCGGGAUCAUACACGUCAUGAAGAGAAACAUCAAGACGCACUACCGCCCCGUAUCGAGCUACUAGCGGUACGUCCAUGCUAUCAAUUUGAAAAUGUAAGGUAUGAGCAAACAACCUUGCCCAGUAAAGAAUGAUAAAACUCUAACUUAAACAAUCCAUAGUCAUCAAUAUUGCAAGAGAAUCAUCAAACAAUUUAGGAUGCUAAAAGAAGUAUAUCUCAAGCAUAAACAAUACUAUUACUUCAUGUAAGAAAUCACCUUAUAUGCAUCCAUUUCUAUACUUACCCUUCACAAACUCAAUCUCACAUCAAAAUAUAAUGCAACAAUAAUAGAUGAACUCACUCGCCAAAUAGAAUUAUAUUUAGUGUGCAUAAAAUCCACCCUCGAAUCAGUCACAACCGGGACUCUACCGGCCUAAUCGAGUCACUUCCGAAAAGUACGUUAUUCGGACUUCCACAAUAUUUCUAUCAUGGGCAUCUCACUCCGAGGCAUCUCAGUAUCACACAACUGAGGUAUCCUUGAUCACACACAAGGGCAUCUCACUCCGAGGCAUCUCAGUAUCUCUCUACCAAGGCAUCCAAGACCAUGCAGCAAGGGCAUCCCAAACUUCCGGGGGCAUCACCGGCAUCUCAGUACCGAUGGGUUCAUUCAUCUUAAGCACACAUUUCACACCACCACACCUUUGAUUAAUGCAUUUAUCGUAUGCAAAAGAAAAGACUCUAAAGUAUCUAUCUAACUCUCAUGAACCUAGCACAUGUACGUGUUCAAAUUAUAAGAUAAAACCCAUUACGUCAUGUCCCAUUCCAUGGCGAACAGAUAUUUAUCCCAUAAUCAAGCACUAUGCACCGCACUCAAUGCACACACAUGAUACUAUAUGCACUUAUAUAUCUGAAAUAAUAUAUGAGACUUACUCUUAUAUGGCUAACAUCUAUUAUGAGGUUUAUUAGACUCUACAUGCAUCACAAAAGCCUAAUAUAAAAGACACAACCUCUAAUAUAUGUUCUCGGGUCCAGACAGUUUACUAAAUGUACAGUUUCGGUUUUGGACAUAGAAGAUAUAUUAAUUCUUGUCGAAAUAUUACCAAAUUUUAGUAUGUUAUAUUUAGAAUAACAAUUCUCAUGAAGAAACUUAAGUCUAAUUCUCACUGUACUAAGAGUAACAAUUGCCAUAAUCCUUACUAGUACCCUGUAUCGACGUCCAGAUUUCGUAUUUACAAAGAAAAUUGUUUCACUAACCAAAUCUUAUCGAUUUAAUCUCAAAUUUUGACACGUCAUUCCUUAAGAUGUGUUCUACAAUUUUCAUUAAAAAUUCGAAGUCCAAAUCUGACUAGUUAAAUACAGAAAAUUCGCAUAAUCAGUAAAGGUCAAACCGUUUCACACAAGAACAGUUUACUGGUUUUACUAAGUACACUUCUGUCUCUAUGUUUUUAUAGUCAUAUGGUUAUAGCUACGUGUAUAACUUGAUCUUAUAGAUGUUCUAUCAUGUAGAAUAGUUUCUUUCUUAUUUCUAUUAACAUACAUAAAGAAAACUAAACACAAAUAGAAGACUCCAUAACUGUUUUCACUUAGAACAUAAUAGAUACACAAAUUUUCUCACUUCUAACUCAACGAAACAACUUAUCUAUCCACAAAUCUCUUCUAAAAUAAUCCAAUGCUUACUCACAGCAACUCAAAGCAACUUCAGCAUAUCUUUCUCUAACAAAUGAUCAAUUUCACAACUCGGCUCGAAGUGUCGUUGCAUCCGUAAGCCAUUUAUCACGAUUUCUACCAAAACAACACACUCGGCAUCCAUUUCAUCACUUCGCUCAACAAAAUAGCAUACUCACACAAGGAUUUCGAAACAUGCAGUCCUAAAAAACAACAUGCAAUGGCCUCUAACUCUAAUCUAACACUUACUCAGCUUAGAUCAAUCACAAAACAGCAACUACAAACUAUAUCCAUCACUGUUUGGUUAGAUCCUCAAGCUCCCUUGAUGAAACAAUGGAUAACUUUCAAUUUUGGAGUUAGAUCUUUCCUUACCUUGCUUCAGCUACAACACAACUCUAAGAUGCUUCAAGAUCAACACUCAAAAUCAGCAUGCAAGAAGGAGAAAUCACAGGUUUGCUUCUGGUUUGCUUCUGGUUCUACCGCUCAGCCGAGAGAAAAGAAAGAAGAAAAUGAAGAUGAGGGUUUCUCGGUUUUGAGGAGAGAGAGAGAGGAUACGAAACUUAAGGGGGAAAAUAGGUCUACAAACUAAUCCCCAGGCUAGAGUAAUGAUGAAAUUUGCAAAUGAUUGUUUUCCUUGAAGUUUGCAUGUCUCGGUUCAUGGGAAUCAAAACCGUGGGUGAAGAAAAACAAAGAGAGAGAGAGGUGUCAUGUCCUCUAAGUUUAUUCUCUCAAGUUUAAUUUGUCACUCAAAAUUAAUUAGUCUUUAAUCCGAGUCAUUAGUCGAUUCAUUGAUUUCUAAUAUUUUUCCAUUUAUUCAUUUUGUUUCAACUUGAUUUCAAUCCUUUUAUGAUUAUACAAAGUCGUAACAUAACAUAUCGAAUGACAUAACAUAUCGACUAGUCAAUGUUGGUUUAUAAGGAAUUCAUCACAAAAUGCUAAAGUUAGAAAUUGAUAUUAGCAUUAUAAUCAUUAAUCAAGUUAUCAUAACUAUAAUCUAUAAAAUAAAUCAUUCGGGCCUAAAUAUUCAUCUCUGUCCCAAUAAGCUUAAUCUAUAACAAUCCCGGCCCACUAAACUAAAUCUACAAAUCUAAUAAUUCUGAACCUUGGCCCGCUUCAAGCCAAGUCCAAGCCCAUAAUCUCUCAUUCGAUUUCUUAAGUCCAAUUCGUGUGGCCCACUUAUUUCUCAAGCCCACACGUUUCUCACGAUCCAUCAGCUUCACUUUCUAGCCCAAUCUAAUUAAUCUAAGCUCCUAAUGAUCUAAUUACACUAAUGAAGGUCAAUGAAAUUUGGGAUGUCACACUUCCAUCAUUGUAAUAAUUUGUAAUCUUCUCCGGCAUUGUGAAUUGAAGUAGAAGGUAAACUCCUGUGUACUGCAGUUGCCUUCUCCCUGUUUGUGUAAUCCUCAUCCCCCGAGCUAACUAGAAGUGCUGAGGCGAUUUCCCUAUGAUGAGGGUCCUUCUUCUUCUUCUUUCCUAUAACAAGAUUCCACCCCGUCUCAGCCUGCCAGGGUCCAUUCUCCAACCCAGAAUCAUCGGUAGGUAGACAUGACGCAGCAGGAGGGGCGGAAUCAGUCUAUUCUUGCUGAGCCUACCUUCGUUGGCCUUUUAACUUCUGUAGGGGCUUUCAAAACAGGAGGAGCUAGGGCAAGAGGCAUACCUUGGGGACCAAGGGGAGCAACAACCGGAGCCUGUUGAGCAGCCCCUGCAGCAGAAGGACGAGUAGGGAUAAGGGCACAUUUGUGGCCGAAGAUGCCACACCCUGAACAUGCAGUAGGUCUCCAUCCAUACUCCACUUCCACUGAGCAUGAUUCACCAUUGUGAACAACUUCUAUGCAUCACAAUUGGGCUGCUUCGCUGUAAUUUUAACAUAGGCCCUAGCAAAAGCCAGCAUCUCCAUAUGCUCAGUGCGCAAGUCCACAUACAGCGACUUGCCAACUACACUAGCCACCUUGCUGAUCCCUUGCAAAGACUAGAAGGCAAGAGGAAGGUUCCUCAGCCUAAUUCACACAGGCACAGUCAAAUGGCUAUCUUUCUUCAGCUCCAAUGCAGGUUGCCAUUGUUGCAAAACUAAGGGCACCCUAGCAAUCAUGAUAAGCCCCCCCCCUUUAGGACCUUUCUGCGAAAAUCUCCAUCAGGCACAUGAAAAAAAGAAGAAGCCUUGUCUAUUAGACAUUACCUCCACUAGAUUCAGUCCCCAUGCGUUUUUUUAGGGCCAAUUCAGUUACCUUGAACAGUAAUCUCCUGCCAAUAAAGUAACCCACGAGGCACUCUUGCAACUUAAGAUCAGCAACCUCAAGUGUAUCAUCAGAUAACUCAACCACCGGUUUGUUGUUGACAUAUGAAGGAGGAAAAUACUCCAAAUCAUAGCCCUUUGCAGCAACCUUGGUUACAUUGGCCCAAGUAUGAGCAUUUGAGUUUUUGGACUCCUUUCUAGGCUGAGGGUGCUAAGAGCUAGACCUACCUCAAGACCCAACAGGAGCAUGAGGAGAUCGAGCCGCAUGAGGCUCAUCGCUCAAAAUAGCCAGAGACAAAGUAGAACAUCUCAAAUCCUCCUUCGAUGUACCAAUCUGAGGUGAAUGUCCAUGAACAAGAGGAGGCAGGCUACGAGCACUAUGCCCUUCCCCAACAUCGUCGGCCAAACUCGACUUGGAUGCCAUCGCAAUAGAUAAAUUGCAACCAUAGCAGCAACAGAUGAAGAAAAACCUUACCCGAGCUCACACAUUACGGUCCAACCUACCAGGGCAGUGCGCCAGUGAGAGAGGAGAGGGAGGAGUCAGGCAACGGUGGUGGAGGAUGGCCGGCACGGUGGUGGAGGUGUCGUCCUACUGUGGGGGCUGUGCUAAUGCGAGUGGGGGGUCUAACGACAGUGACAGGGGUUGCGAGGUCGCCCAGAGCGAUGCGGGCGAGGGUGGAGCCCUAAGGAGCACUCAGCGACGAAGCUCAAUGGCCAAGGGCGAACCCUAGGGAACGCUCGGUGUUGAGAGGAGCGUUUGGCUACGGGAGUUCACUUAGCGGCUGAGGGCAAACCCUAGGGGACGCUUAGCGACGGUGCUCGAGGCAGAGUUUAGUGGCGGACGGCAAAAUGCUUGUGGGCGCUCGGCGAUGAGAGGAGCGAGCUCGAGGAAAGCUCGACCCACCAACGCUAGCUCGACCCGCCAGCGCAGCCGAGGGCGAGGCCCUAAGGCGCGCUUGGCAUCAGUGCUCGGCCGCAGCGCUCGGUGACAAAGCUCAGCAGUCGACAACAAGCUGCUCGGGAGUUCGCUUGGGAGCCGCUCGGGAAUGUUUUCUAAUAGCAAAGGAACUAUUAAGCGCCACUUUCCAAGAAAUUUCAUGUUGCCUGAGUUUACAAUUCUCCAUUUUUAGUUCGGAGAUCCUUUUACGAAAGAUUUUAAGACUGAGACAAAGUUCUUCUAUGCAUUUCAAGACUUUAACAGGAUUUUUUAAGUUACUAACCUCAAGUUUUUUGUCUGAGUCUGAAUCAAAGUCUGUUUCUGAUUUUGAGUUAAGUCAGAAUGAGCCAUCAAACAAAUGUUGGCAUAUUCUUCUUCACUUUCCUCGCACUCAAUGUCACUCCGAGUUUCAGCUUUGAGAGCCUUUUUGUACUUCUCAUUUAUUCCUUUCUUUUUCUUCAACAAAAGACAGUUAGGUCCGAUAUGCCCAUUUUUCUUGCAUUCGAAGCAUCUUACAUCUUUGCUAGUUUCAUUGUCCUUAGUCGGUCUCUUCUAGAUAUUUUGAGUGCUCUACUUCUUCUAGUUGAAUUUUCUUCCAUUUCUAUUCAACUUUCUAAACUUCUUAAUCAUAAGUGCUAACUCCUCAUCAUUGAUAUCAUCAUCUGAGUUUGUUGCAUCAGAAUCAUCAUCAAAUUUUAAAGCAAUUGACUUCUUACCUCUUGGAUCUUCUUCCUCAUUGAUCUAUUCCACUUCAUAUGAUUGAAGCGUGCCUACUAGUUCAUCUACAGAUAGAGGCAUGAUCCUUUGAGUUUCUCUAAUUGAUGUCUUCACAUGAUUCCACUCUUUAGAAAGUCCACAUAGUAGUUUAUUAACUUUCAUCGGUCCUGAGAUUGAUUGACCUUGAUAAACCAAGGCAUUUACAAUCUCUAUGAAGUGAUUGAACAUAUCAGUGAUGGAUUCUCUAGGCUUCAUCUUGAAGGCUUCAUCUUGUUCGAGUAGAAUAUUGAUUUUUGUUUCCUUUACUCGAUCAGUUUCUUCAUAGGUAAUGCCUAAUCUGUCCCAAACUUCUUUCGUUAUUUCACAAAAAGAAAUUCGGUUAUAGUCAAUAGGAGAUAAAGCACAGUAUAAAAAGUAGAUAGCUUUAGCAUCAAGAGCUUAUCUCUUGGUUAAUUCUACUUAUGUUUUUUUGUCAGCAUCUACAACUUCUUUUCCUCUUUCUGAGGUUGAUGUAGCUUUGAGAUUGAUCCUUUUUCUACCACAUCCCACUCCAGGGGAUCUUUCGAUCUCAAAAAUGCCUUCAUCUUGUUUUUCCAUACAUUGUACUCCUUCCCAUCGAAGUAAGGAGGUCUAGUGUCGACCAAUCCUGAAGCCAAAAUACUAGCCAUAGAUCUUCAACUUAGAGGUAAAAACACCUCAAUGAAAUAAGCACAUAGACUCCAAUACCAAUUGUAAAUGCUAGUAUAAACACCUAGAGGGGGCUGAAUAAGUGUGAAGACAAUUUUUCACAAGGAAUAAUGGAAAUAAUUUGCUUUUAAAAUAGAAUCUGAAAAACAACAGACAUUAAGCGAGUUCAAAUUUUAGUAGUUAAAUAGAAUUACAAACAAAAUAAAGAGCUCACGGAAGAAAAUAAGAACACAGAGUUUAUAGUGGUUCGCUUAGAUCAAGCCUAUGUCUACUCUCCACGCUGAUAGCCUACUGACUAUAUUUCACCAAGGAUCAAAAGAGAGUUUACAGCCUUGUGAUCUCGACUUCACAAUGAAGAGUCUCAACUGCUCUCUCACGAAGUCUCACUAUGAGUUUCUCUCUUUCGUAUACAACUUUGAGCUCGUAAUAUCGAAUGACAAGAAAAUGUUAAGCUUCAGACUUUGAAAUUUUUCUUUCACGCACUCUGUUGAACAACUAGAGAGUCCACCUUAAAUACUCAUUCAUGCCUUCACAACCGUUGUCACUUUCCAAAUGAAUUUUUCCAAUUUACCUGUUAGACAGAAUUAAUUAAGGACACAUCGAGUCGUUUGAAGAUUGUGAUGAAAGCCCGUCAAUCAUGUUCGCCUAUAUAAUCAGGAUCUUGGUUUCCAUAAGUAGAUUAUUUCCAAAUUACUUGCCUUCGAAAGAAUUUGAUUUAUCUAAAUUGAUUCCAAUAAAGAUAAUCAAUCUCGUAGGUGAUAUAUCCAACCAGAAAGCCUUCCAUAAUCCAUAUGAACCAAACUCCUGAAGAGAUAAACAAAAUCUCACAUCUGGAUAAGUCUUAUUUCUUCAGUAGCGUUCAGUAUGGAAUUUGUCAGUGUGGAUAGACUUUAUCACUAAAGUCUGAUCAUCUUCAAACUUUGACACUAAAGUCUGAAAAUCUUUAGAAUAGACUUGGGAUAAGUUUUGUCAACUUAAAAACACCAAGGAGUUUUCUCCAACACCCUCUACUCUUGCAGAUGAGCCUCGUUGGCAAGAAAAUCCCAUAUUUCAUUCACAACAGCAAAUUGGCAUGUAAGUGUCUCAUUACAAUUCAAUACAUAACUGAGAUUUCAAUCAACUACCACAAAAUGGAUGGUAAAGCCCCAAACUGAAUACAAAAAGAAAGAUUUGUAGAACAAGAGCCCUCCACUCUUGUAGAUGAACCCAGCUCCCAGGAAAAUCCGAGUCCUCAUUGUAGUUCAAUACAUAGCCGAGGAUCUUUGUUGCCAUGUGAUCCCUAUCAUAGAGCUAGAGGUGGCAAAAUGGGUCUUAGGCCCAUAUAUGACCCAUUUAAAUCAAAAAUGGGUCAUAUAUGCGUCACUUAUUUUUGGACAAAAAGUAGUUAAAUGGGUUUAACAAUUAAAGACUUAAGAUAAGUGGGUCUUAGGUGGGUCUUAAGUGGAUCUUAAAUGGGUUGAAUUUAGAACCCAUUUUCAACCAAAACCUCACAAUCUCUCUUCCUUCUUUAACUUUACAAAAAAUAUAUAUAUUUUUAUAAAAAUUGAAUUUAUAAUUAUUUUUAUAAUUUUCUUUUCUUUUUUCUUUCCUUUUUUUUUCUUUCUUCUUCACCUUCCGAUGGACGACGAUCGGCCAGGCGAGCCUUGAGCUUGCUGGCGUCGGGCGAGGCUCGAGCUUGCCGACAUCCGGCGAGCCUUGAGCCUCGCCGGUUUAGCGAGACUCGAACUUGUCGACGUCGGGCGAGGCUCGAGCCUCGCUACAUCCCACAAGGGGCAAGCUUGAGGGUCGCUGGUGUCGGCAAGCCAGGCGAGCUCGAGGCUCACUUAUGACCGGUCGCUGGUUGUCGUCGCAACCGGCGGGCGACCAAAGAAGAAGAACAACAACAAAAAAGAAAAAAGCAAAGAGAAAAGAGAAAAAGAAAAUUAAUAUUAAAAUUAAUAUUCUUAAAAAAUAAAAUUAAAUUAAAACUAAUUUUUAAAAAUAAAAUAAAAUUAAAAUUAAUUUUUAAAAUAAAAAAUAAUUUAAAAUUCGAUUUUUUAAAAUAAUUAUCUUAAAAAUUAUAAAAAUUGUCCAUUAAAUUUGUGUUGUAUAAAACUAUUUUAGCAAUACCAUUUUUUUAAAUAUAUAUAUAGGUCGAGUAUAAGUCAAGUAUAGGUCGAGUUGUGUGUCAAAAAUUUUGCACUGCAAUAAAUGGGUCAUAAACAGGUUAAAUGGGUCGAUUUGGGUCAAACCAUUUAUGACCCGACCCAAACCCAACCCGACUCACCCGUUUAACAGGUCUGCAUAGAGCCCAAGCCAAGUUUUGGGCUGAUUACAUCGGCCAAUUAGAAGCACCAAAUGACGCUUGGUAAUAAACUUUCAAGCGCGUAACUUUAGUGCACCCUCUUUACUUAUGAACUAUUUGCUGCCAGUUAUCAUAACCUAAAGCAUAGAUAUUUCGUAAGGAGUUUGAUCAUCUGAGGUCGUGGCCAUUUUAUGUACCAGAUUUUUAAUGAAAGAGCAGACAGACAUAACUUUUAUAGCACUGGAUUUUGCUUAUGCUGCAGGCUGAAUUUUAUGGCUGUGUUGGUGAGGUUGUGGUUGACAAUGGUCUUAACAUGACCGUCUGAAAACGACUAGAGAACUCGUGUUUUGACUGUCAUUUCCUUGGAGUCCACGAAAUUCAAAUCACCUCCGUCUUAGCAACUCCUAAGCGUACCAAUAAGCAUCGGGCACAAAUAAAUGAGACAGGUAAAAGAAGGACAACAAAGUCGGGUCCAAGUCCGAGUCCGUGGAGAUAUUCCUGUUUAUGGAAGUACAAGCUUUACUUCAAGCUUGUCAAAAAUCUCCUUCUCUUAUGACUUGGUCAUUUUCAUUAAAACUUUACAUGGUUCACUCAUUUCAUUGGAAUGUGCAGAUCGAUGAGACUGGGAGACUAGUCAUUUUGACCUAAAGGAGAAGAACAAGAGGCAGCCAAGAGAGAGCUCUAGAUUGCCUGAAGAAGUUGGAACGGAGGCUCGGUGAACCGCCCUUCUUCUGAGGGGAAACAUUAGGGCUUGUCGAUAUCGCUCUUGUCCCUUUCUAUAGCUGGUUUUAUGGCUACAAGAGGUGCGGCGGUUUUAGCAUCGAGACACAAUGCCCCAAGCUCAUUGGUGGGCCAAGAGGUGUUCCCAGAAAGACAGUGUUUCAAAGUCUCUAGCCGACCUCCAAAAAGUUCACGGAUUCAUGUUGGAGCUCAAGAAGAGGUUCCGGGUUGAUCAAAAGCAAAAGGACCAACUUAGGUGGUAUAGUGGAUGUUGGUUUGUGUUUCAAUCUUUGAUGUGUCCUAAAUUUUCAAGUAAAGAAUGAAAGAUAACUCAGUGUUUGUUGUGGACAAAGCUGUUGAGGAAUAAAUAACACAUGCUUUACAUGGCCUAGUGAAACCGAUCACCUUGUCCGGUCCUUGGCCUUUGUUUUCUUUUCUAAUGGGAAAUACGACAACAAUGCUCACUGCCUGCCAUCGUGAAGGGGCCGAUAAAGGCCAAUGGUGGAGCAAGAAUCAACUAGUCCUGAAGAAUUUUUUUCGCCAGGAGCAAUCACCAUCAAAUUUAAAAUAGAGCCAUUGGACCCCCACAAAAUUGAGAUUGAUAAAUAUAAUUUCUUUCGGAUACAAAAGGAUUCACUCCGACACAUUUUUUCCACUGGUGUACGUACAAAUUAGGCUUCGCAUUUCCAUAUCUUUUCAGCUUUGACAAGUCCACUCAGUACUCACACAUCUUAACUACAAUUGAAACUGAAAGGACUAGAUCAUGAAAGAAACGCUUCGAGCUUACUCAUAAUCCAAGCAGCGACUUUUUUAUUAUUGCACACCAAACACUACCUCGGCACGAGCAACUCUCUGUUGCUCAUCACGAUCACCAACAUAAGUUUCAAAAGAAGACACAAUGAAGUGUCCCCUUCCCAAUACCAGAAAUUCAACUACAAGAGAAAGCCCUAAGCAGCAACUAUAACGUUAAGACUAGGGAUGGAGAUAAGAAGUACCCACAAUGAGUCAUCCAGAUCUCUACUCAAUGCCAUUGGCUUUCUUGAGAUGCAAGACGAAGCCGUACACCUUCUGAGGGUCGGCGAGAGACUUGGACACGCUCUCUAUCUCCAGGCACCUCUUGGUCCACGCUAUGAAAUUGGAGCACUCCACCUCGAUGCUGAAGUUUCCGCACGUCUCAUAAGCAAGAAAAUAGGUGUAGAAAGAAACGAUCGCUAAAUCCACGAAUCCUAACUUCUCUCCCCCAAAGAAGGGUUUGUCACCGAGCUCGCCUUCCAAUAGCUUCAGGCUGUCAAUCAGCUCCUUCUUGUCCACCUCCUGUUCUUCUCCUUUUGUGGUGCAAAUCUUCCUCCCCAGGUCAGAGAACUGCGAGUUUUUUAUGACGCCAUUAGAAUCACACGAUCUUUAAUUUCAAUGUCUGAAAAGCUCAUAAUAAAUAGAAUAGGCAACCAAUUUUUUAGCAUUCUUUCCCAGAAUGUACGUUUUGCUUCUAUUUGCAAAGUCCUUCCCGAAACUCACGUCUGCGUCACAAAGAACUUAGCUGAAUAAACCACAGCCAUAUACAAAAAAAGGAUCUGAUCAUGUUAGCUCAAAAGGCCCCUUCCCCGGAAAACGUCAUGAUUUUGCCAAACCAAUAAAGGCAGAGAGGGGUAACCAUGCAAGCAGUGCCAAGCAAUAUCCUGAUUUAAGACUAUGGGGAUGACAGCAAUCAGCAUUUCUAACAAGCUCAAGAUAGGCAGUCCCGUCGCCAUGGAUGUGAACUAAUCUGCACGCACAAUUACGCAGCAAGUAAAUUUGGAUUCUUACUAACAACUCCCUAAAUCGAAGUAUCUUAAUCCUUUUUCCUAUUCAUGUAGAUCAUAUAUAUCUUAUUUGUCUAUUUUUAUCUUGCCUAAGUAGAUUAUCUUGAAUUACACAUACAUUACCUUGGUCUAAACUACAAAACAACCAUUUUGAAAACAAAGUCAAUCAUGACUCUCCAUGGAUUUGCUGAUGUAAGCCCUAGCUGAAGUUGCAAAAAUAAAAGCUUGAAUACCACUUAUAAAUAAUCUAAGGAACAUAAUAGGUAUUGGAACCACUAAAAGUACUAAAAGAACAAGAACAACGGCUAUUAAUUCAUCAGUUAAUAUAUUUUGAAAACUCGAAAACUAUGUGAUAAAGGUUUUGUGAAACCGAUCGCCUUGUCCAUCCUUGGCCCUUGUUUUCCACACAUCUCAUACAUUGGUCUAAACCUAAAAAUUGCCAAAUGGACAUGGUAAGAAUAUUUUAUGACACUCUAGCCUACUUCAUUUUUUUUUCUUUCUUUUCCCUCAUUUUAUUUUUCUUUUUCUGAUUUUAUUAUUUCUAGUUCCCCCUCUAUCAUUUUCUAAUAAAAUUUUAUUAAAUGAUAAAUUAUACUAGUGUAUCUAAAAUACUCAAAUACGUAAAAUAUGCAAUAAAUUUAAUACUAAAUUUAUAUUUAUAUAUUGAGUAUAUAUUACAAGUAAAAAGAAAUUCGAAUAUAUAAAUAAAAAAAAGCAAUUGUUGCUAUUUUUUAUUUCGAAUUUCCUUCUUAUAUUAGAAUUCAAAUAUUAUUUUAACUUUAUUAAUUUAAGAAAUUUUUUAAUUGGAAAAAUAACUUAUUUUAUAUAUAAAAAAAUCCUAUCGGCCUUUAUCCUAGUUUUCCUAAGAAAAUUUUUUCUAAGUUGUAUCCAUUUAUAUUCAAUUGUAUCCCGUCUUGAGCAUAAAUUAGAUAUAUCUGAUAGAUUCAAUUCUAUCAUAUUUUCAAUUUUUUCCUGGUUAUUAAAUAUAAAUACAAGCACAACUACUACAAGUGGUCUUGAACUUAGCCAGCCGGAGUGUGUAGUCACGUUAGGUUUGUGAAAUAUCAACCUGUUCUGGGAGGCCACCAUAGUCGUGGAUAAAGGAAGUAAGAGUUUCUAACAUAAAUUGAAAAUAUUACGAGGUUGCAAAACAAAUCACUUAUGGUUCUAUUCGUAGAUUGCAAAUUGCACCAUUUUUAACUCAAGACUUGUUCCAUCAAUCGAAAACUUAACUCGAUAAAUUCCAUUAAUUCUCCAUAGCUUCUACAUCUUAAUUCAUCGGUUGUGGUAAUUUUUAACUCUCCGAUGACAUACAUUAAUUCGUGAAGUUCAUCCUUAUUAACAUGAAGAAAGAAUAUUAAUUUUAUUUUAAGAACUUCUAUUAAUUGUUUUUCGCGCCAUAAAACCGCAAUGUGUCUACAGAUAAAAGCUCAGCUCUAAAUCAAUAACUACUUGAUUUGUAUAUAAGAUUCCAUUUAUGUCGUGAAAAAUAAAUAUUUUGAAAAGUAUUUUUCUAAAACCAAAUGCUUGCAUCUCUUAAUAUAAUUAAUCAAUAAAAAAAUUUCUUUAUUGAUAAUAAUUUAUAUCUAAAUAUUUUUGUGGAAAGAAAAUAUUUUCAUCCAUUCAAUUUUAUAAGUGAUAAAAGUGAUGAAUUUUUGAAAAAUAUUUUGAAAAUUAUUCAUUUUGAUGGAGCCCAAGUACAUAAAUAAUCGAGAAAUGGAAAAUGAAGAAGACGUUGACGAACUGGGAGGCACUAGAAAGAAGGAAGAAACUUCCGGGAGAACUAAUAAUAAUAAUUAAUUUCUCGUUCAUGCGACACCUAAGCCAUGACCUAAUCGUCUCGGGCGUGGGAACUUAGACUUGGAUCUGAGAGUGACGCAAGCAAUGACCAUAUUUUCGGCAGCCUGUCCAGUGUCCACCCACCCUGCCAGUGACGAAAUAUAGAAGUCACAUCGUCAAAGUCCUCUUUCCCUCUAUAUAAGUGGUACCCAAGUUAGCCUGACUUCACCGCGAGCAGCAUUCUUCAAUUCAGUUCAAAUUACCAAAAGCUUCCGCUUGUAGUGACAAAUUCAAUGGCGGAGGAAGUGAUUUUGUUGGACUUCUGGCCGAGCCCGUUCGGGAUGAGGGCCAGGAUUGCCCUGCGAGAGAAGGGCGUGGAGUUCGAUAUGAGGGAGGAGGAUCUGAGCAACAAGAGCCCCCUGCUCUUGAAGAUGAACCCGGUCAACAAGCAAAUCCCCGUCCUCGUCCAUAAUGGCAAGCCCGUUUGUGAGUCCCUCCUCAUGGUCCAGUACAUCGACGAGACCUGGGUUCGCCAGUCUCCUCUCUUGCCUUCGGAUCCUUACGAGCGUGCCCGGGCCAGGUUCUGGGCUGACUACGUGGACAAGAAGGUAAGACAACAACGUCCUAGUCUUUUUAACAAUUCCUUAUUAACUGCCCUCAACAUCGAGUCACGAAAUGACGGUGCAGAUUUAUCCGGUGGGGCGAACGGUGUGGCAGUCGAGGGGGGAGGCCCAGGAGGCGGCGAAGAAGGAGUACAUCGAGUGCUUGAAGGUGUUGGAGGGAGAACUCGGGGACAAGGCUUACUUUGGCGGUGAGAGGUUCGGGUACGUGGAUGUGUCGCUGAUACCCUUCUAUAGCUGGUUCUAUGGGUUGGAGACGAUGGCCAACUUCAGCAUCGUGGAGGAGUGCCCCAAGCUGGUGGCGUGGGCCAAGCGGUGCAUGCAGAGGGAGAGCGUGGCCAAGUCAUUGCCCGACCAGCACAAGCUUUAUGACUUCCUCUUGGCACGCAUUAAGAAGCUUCAGGCGCAAUAAACAACUCGAGUCUGAUUAUGAUCAUCUUAUGACUCUAUUGUUCAAUAACCCCUCUCCUUUCACGAGGCUGAGCUCUUUUGUACCUCUAUUGCUUUCCUUUUUGUAUUCGAGUGUUUCUGGAUCAGCUUAUGGACUAUACCCAGCAUUUCAUCUAUUCCUUUGAUCUCUUUCUGUCACGUUAGGGAAUAUCUCCUCUGUUUCUAAUAACAAAUCCUCCAAAAGUUAUUUAGCACAUGUUGAAGCAUUCACUCGACAAAUUAGAUGAACUUAACUUUUUAAGCCGUCUGCCCAUGGCUUGGCUAAAAAUAUGCCACGGUCUCUUAUCUCUCUCUCGACAGUGCUUGCACAGACACUCACAGCAUAAAUAAAUAAUAAAAAAUACAUCGAUAAUAGAAGACAAACGAAUGUCAAUUGGACUCCAUCCCAUGGGCGUGCUCUAUGUGGAAAUAUAAAGCAAAGCGAACACUGGAGGAGGUCUGGAUGAUGAUGAUGAAGAUGAUGAGGGAUCUGCGUUGAAACUUGAAGAAUCUCUUUCUUCUUUAAGGAUCAUCGCUAAAGCACUCGUCAAUGGGUGCUUUGCUAAGUGAAGGAAUCUCGGGGGUACAACCUCUGUGAUGAACCCGGUGCGUUGUAUCUUGGCCAUCUACAAAUCAGUCCCCAAUUACGCGAAGUUGAAACAUGAACCCGGUGUAUGAACAAGUUGACGACAAACUCUGCGAGUAUAUAUGAUUAUAAACUCACGCCUCGGAAUCCAGUGAAACUUGAAAACACCAGAACGCCGAAUAAGAUGAAGAAAUUGCAGGCAUUUGCCUCAGAAUAUAUAAUGGACACUAGGAUCUUACAAUGGAGGGAGCUUGUGGAGUGCAUUCUUUCCGUACUAAUUUAGUUCUCAAUUGGUAGCACAUGCAAUUAAUUAGGAGUGAACAUGGUUAUAGGAUAGAAUUUGAAACCUGAUAACCGGACUGGUGAGAGCCUGAAAGUUCUGAGUUUUAAAGCAUGCAAGAUAGAUUUUAAAUUCCAAAAAAUAAGGAACCUGUUUCGAUGGGUAUAUUCCAAAUUCUUAGUUGGAAGAACCUAAAACUUGAAACCUGUAAGUUUGUAACAUAAAACCUGGAACAGGUUUUAAGUUUUUCUUGAUUUAUGUCUUCAUGCAAUUUUGCGAUAUAGUUUGAGCUUUCAUUUUUAUAACUGAGAUUUUUACUUUAUUAAUAUUCAUAUUAUCUAUAUACCUUUAUGAUCAAUGGAUUGUGCAUCAAGUAGUAAUCAUUAAAGGUUUUAAUUCACUGCAACCGUUCAAUUACUAAUAAGUUGAACAUGGAUAAACCCUAAAACCUGUAACAUGGUAGGUUCUAGACUCUAAAGUAUGCAGGAUGGGUUUCAGGUUUCAAGAAAAUGAAAAAUCUGUUUCAAUGAAUAGGCUCCGGAUUCCAAGUGGAACAUGUAUGAAACUUGAAACCGCUCACCCUUGUUAUUAAUGCCUCCCCCGUCAAUUUUGUCUUUUACGAGUUCUUUUACCAUACCUACUCCUAAUGAGCGAAACAUGCAUUUGAUUCUCUCUCCACUUUGUGUAAAUUAGGAGUGCCAACAUGUUUUAUGAAGCUUAUGUGUUGGAUAACUUUUAACAAGCUGAGCAACAUGGAGGUGUAUUUGUUUUAUGCAUGCUUACUCGAGAUAACUAUGCAACAUGAUCGAAGGUGAGGAGACGUGCAUUACAAGUGAAUAAUAGACCUGGGUUUAUUGACGGAUCGCUAGAGAAGCUAGAUCCAAAGGCACCCGAAUUUAAUGUCUAGGACGUUUGUAAUUCCAUGAUAGUUUCAUGGAUCUUCAAUUCCCUUGACAAGAGUUUACAAGGAAGCGUGGCAUAUGGAGAAGAAGCAAAAUUACUAUGGGCCAAGUUGAAGGAGAGAUUCGCUUAAGGUAACGGACCUCACAUCCACAAGGUCAAAACCAAGAUCGAGCUCCUACACCAUGGAGGACUCUCAGUGGUGGAACACUACACCAAAUUGAAAGUCUUAUGGGAUAAACUCAAUGAUUAUGAUGAUGUCAUAUAAUGUUACGUGUGUUGCACCCGCGAGAUACAAGAAGAAGAAGAAGGUGGAGUAUAUCCACCAGUUUCUCAUGGGCCUCAGUACCGAGACCUAUGGGAAUGUUCAUUCUCAAAUUCUCAAACCUCGAGCCACUCUUGUUCCUCAGUAAGGUUUAUUCUAUGAUCACAUAAGAGGAGUGCCAACGAUCAAUUGUUCAAGGGAGGGAAGAGAAGAUCGAGGAUGCUACUUUCUCUAUUGGAAGAACAGCCCCAAGGAAAACGCCAUUUGGGAAAUCUAAAUGUGUGGGAAGAUUAGGCAUGAGAAGAGUCAUUGCUGGGAGUUAGUUGGAUAUCCUCCAAAUUGGGAGCCAAGGCAAGGUGGAAAGGAAACUUUCCACAAUAGCUAUACAUUCUGUAGAGGUAGCAAUGACGGUUCUGACACUAUUGCAGAUACUAGUCAAAGAGGUCUAGAGGGGAGUGAGACAACAUCAACAAUUAGCAAUGAUUAAUAGUAGCAUUUGGUCAAUCUGCUCAUGAGAAGGUGUCGCGACCCUCCUGAAUUUUUUGAAAGUGAAUUACUUAAAGAAGGCUAAUGGAUUACUAAAUCCGAAGACUUGGCACGGACCCUCCCAAGUCCUACCAAUCGUGACUUGAUAUUAAGAAAUUAAUCUAUUUAAACAUGUAAUUAUAUUCAAUUUGGAGCCGCCACUAACCAAUUAGGGUUGAUUAGAAACCCAAGUAAAAUAUGGGAGAAUAGUUUACUUUUGCAAACCAGAGAUUCAGUAGGUCCGGGGACAUGGUUACGCUAGAUUAGUCUAACGCCCUUUCGGUACCUUUUUAUUUUAAUUUUAAAAAUAUUUUGCAGGCAAUGUUGAUUAAUUUAAACUUAAGCUACUAACAUGCAAAUGGUCAUGCGGGUGCACAAUCAAUAAAAUAAUAUUCAAUAAAAAAAUGUUAAUAAAAAUGCAUUGCCUUAAACAUGAUUUCUAAAUGACAUGAUACCUAAUUUUUCUCUUUCUUUUUGAAAAUGUUAAUUAUAUGCAAUCUUAAUUUAAAUUUGAUAUGCAUGAGUUUUACUUUAAUGACAUAUGAGAUGCAAUUCAUGUGGCAUAAUUCAAAUCAUUACAAUAUGUGUGCAAUCUAAUUUACAUAACCCUAAAUAUGCAUAUGUUGUAUGAUAUGAGAUGUAUGACAUGGUAAUUCUAUAUGCAUGUUCUUUUAUGAUUUUUUUUUUUUUAUGAUGAUUCAUUUUUUAAUGCAUAUAUGCAACCUAUGCUAAAUAAUGAUGAUAUGAAAUGAGAUUAAUUAUGAAUUAACCUAUUAACUAACAAGGAAAUGAUCUUUGGUUUUUCUUUCUUUUUUAAUGACAUAAUGUUUUUUAUUGAAAAGAAAGUAACUUAAUGGUGCAAUGAUCAUCUUUUAGCAUUUUCCUUUUUAUUAAAAAAAAAACAAUUAAACUAUAACUCAUAUGGCAUGCAUAACAUUUUUUUUUUCAUCUUUUUGUUUUACUAAAUGAAAAUUGACUUAAUCUAAAAAUAUCUAGGCGUGUUGCUUUGAUAUGAAAUGUGUAUGGACCUAAGUACCUAAGUUCUAGAUAUGACAAUAUUUUACUAAUAAACAAAUUCUAAUUAAACCUAUUAUGCAAAUUAAUUAAUAUGUACCUAAUAUUUUUUGGAUUCUUUUUAUUGAAAUUCGGAAUUAAUAAAAAAAACUAAUUAGACUAACUAAAGUGAAUGAUAUUCUAAUUUAUUUUAGGAAUCAAUUUAACUUAAAGUAUAUCUUAUCUUAAAAGCUAUAUAAAAAAUCAAGACAUGCCAACAUUAUUUAAAAUUAGCCCUAACAAAAAUCACUCAUCUAAAAGUAUAAUCUAAAAAUUAUAAUCCUAUAAAUGCAAUUCUAAUUUACUAACCCUAAAAAUAUAGUCCUAAUUUACUAAACCUAAAUGCUCUAAUGCAAUAUUUAGAUUUUUAUGUACUUUUUCUUUUUCUUUUUUUUGAUUUUUUUAAUCUUUCCAAACAAGUAAUUAUUUUAAAAGAAUGAAGAUAAGAAUUAAAAUAACCGAAAAAAUAAUCCGUUGCCUCACGGAUUAAAUUAACAAUUAUUUUAACUCUAUAAUGAUUUAACGAUUGAAAUACUAUCAAAAUUCCUAAAAAUUAAAGUAAUUAAAAAAAUGACCCGACGUCUUAUGGGUCAAAUUAAUAAUUACCUUAAUUUGGGAUAAAACUCCUAAUGUCUACAAGGUCUACAAAUAUUGACAUACAGUACUACAAUUCAAAUAAUUAAACUUAAAAAUAAGCUAACAUAACAUGAAAUAAGUAAAAAAUAAAAAUAAACUACCUAAGGCUUGGAAAAUGGGAGCAGCAACGGUGGUUCAGUGAUGGGUCGUGGUGGCUAGAGUAAGGCGGUCGUCGGAACUCCGGCGAGGCUCGGGUAGCAACCGAACCUGCAGCAAAACAGGGGAGACAGCAGGUGGCGGAGCUUGGGGCGUUGCAGCGGCGGACACAGGCGGUGCGGGGGCUUCUGGUUCCGGGUGGAUCGCGGACAGGGCAAGGAAAGCUGCGACGUCGCGGGUCGGCACAGCGGUGGCUUCGUCGGGCUGGUGGAACGGCUCCUCAGUAGCGAGCACGGCGAAGAAACUCCGGCGCGGGCGGCGGCGAGGGAACUCAGAGACGGUGAGCUGGCAGCGAAUGGGAUCGAAGACUCGCGGGAUGCAGGCGAGGAGGAGACGCGGCGUCUGGCGGGACUGCAACGGAUGUCGAACGGAGGCGGCUGGCUAAAGGCUCGAGGGUUCGGAGCUCCGGUGAAACACGUCGUCCAGCGACGAGAUGCUGAGGAACAGAUCAGGAGCGGCGUCUCCUGUCGGGCUGCAGUGGUGCGACGAGCAGUAGUGCAGGGUAGUGACCAACGGAGCGCUUCGCUUGUCGGUGCGGUGGCACGGGUGACGACGGGUGACGAGCCGGGGGGCGAUCGGUGGCCGGCGCGAACAGUAACGGCAGAGGAGCUUGCGUAUGCGGGAGGUCGAGUAGCAGCGGCGAAGAAGACGAUAUGUUCUUCCUCUGCUUCUGUUUUUGCUUCUUCUUUUUUUUUUCUUUUGUCUUUUUCUCUCUUUCCCUCACACGUCUCACUCACCUGUCUCUCUCUCUCUCUCUUUUACUGUGCUCUGCUGCACUUUUCAGCGGACGAAAAAGUGCUUCCUCCUGCUGACUUCGAAACUAGCAGCAAGAAAACCCAAAAAGAACUUCUCUUGCUGCCUUCACUUUUUUACUUUUCUUUUUUCUUUUCACUUUUGUACUCUUUUCUCCUUCGACGAAGACGAAGAGAAGCCCCCCACUCGGUUCUAAAGCCUCGCAUUUUAUAAUGAAAGCACUCAAAGUUGUUUUUGCAAAUGAGAUAUUCACUCAACGACUCCAACAAUAAAAGGGCUCCAAAAUCAAAUAAAAACUGAUUUUUUUUUAAUUUUGAAAUGAAGAUAUCUUUUCAACAAAAAGUUUCCAAAACCGAAUUUCUGUUUUAUUUAUUAUUUUCUAAAAUAUUAGGUGUCAACACAAGGAAACAGCCUACUUUGAAUGAUCGACUCACAAGUAAGGUCAAUUGGCCUAAUGAUGUCUCCACAAAUUAGAUUAUCGAUAGUGGCACCUCUAAACAUAUGAUAAGACGGUUUUUUCUUCUAAAUCAACCGAGAAACAACACAGGUGGAUUUCCUAUAUGAAUUGGGGAUGAACAAAAGAAUUUUAUCACCUGGACUACUCGAAACUAGAACGGGCCAGAAUCGGAAACGGUAGUUCGUAAGGGAGAAGAUUUGGUUCUCGGUUGCAAUUUGGUGAAAACAGUGAGUACCAAUUUGGUUCCCGGUUCUAGGUGUGGAACCACUCAUUCACUCACUCGAACAUGACUCAUAUAUAUAUCUUUAAAAAGAAAAAGAAAUUCUAUCACAAUUACUUAAUUAUUUUGUAGCCGUCGACCUGACACACACACACACACAUAUACACAUUUAUGUAUAUUUGUAGUUAUUAGACAUUAUUGACUAAUUUUGUCUAUUGGGUGUAUGAUAGGAUUAACUCCUUACAAAUUUUUUUCUACUCUAACAAUCCAUUUACUUACUUUCUAAACCAAAACAAAAUAAACAAACGAAGAGGAAGGAGAAGACCAGUUGGAGAUGCCCAUAAAUGUUGCUUUACCAUCAUGAUAUGAAAUUAAGAGCCAACAACUCAUUUCAAGAGCAUAAUUAAAUCUCUCAUUAGCCAUCCCCAUGAUUAAAUUAGAUUGAUGCUAAAAAAAUGAUUAGAACAAUUAAUGUUUUAACUUAUGUGGAAGUUAAGAUUUUUAAAGUAGAGUUUAAUUCUUAGCAUGUUCCCAGUGUCAGGAAAUCCCAAGAGGACCAUAACAUAACCUUUAAAGAAAUUAAGCUUCUAUCUAAUGAGUAUUGUCCAUUCAUUUCGCCCUAUAAUUUUCAAUCCUUAAUUAAAAUCAAUGGCUUACAAUUCAACCCAAAUAUAAUGUCGAACAAGUUUUGGUGCUCUAAAACAAAAACUAGGUUCAACCUAAUAUUAAUUGAUCAAUGCAAUUUUAUAAGUUUUAGGGACCGAUUUCAUGGACCCUCUGGGGAACUAGAUCGGACCGACAGUCUGAUUCCCGAGUGGAUCCAAGGAACCAACGAGUGAUUUCCGAUUCCAAUUUUUUGGAAUCGGUCCUUAGUGGAUAGUUUUCUAUUCUACAGUUGAAACCACCCACCCAUACCAUGCUCACCCCUAAUAUGAACUCCUUAUGGAAAAGUGAUUCAUGCUAUUAAGAGAGGCAAUGUUCAUUUAAGCCCUAAUUAUUUUGCAUGAUAUGCUAUAUGUUCCAAACUUUCAGUACAAUCUUAUUUCUGUUAGAAAAUUGAGUUUAGAUUUGCAAUGCUCAAUAAUAUUGUUCUCUUCUCAACAUGUCAUACAAGAUCUAUCCUCAAAGAGAUUGAUUGGAGUGGGUAAUCUUUAAUAAGGGGUUUAUUAUCUUGGAUGCGUGGGCAGCAUUUGGGUUUCCAUCUUUGUAUACAAAGGGAAGCACUACCAUGGAGCCGCUUUUCGUCUCAUUUGGAUAAAGGAAGUCAGAGUUUCUGACAUAAAUUGAAAAUAUCGAGAGGUUGAAAAACAAAUCAUUUAUGGUUCCAUUUGUAGAUUGCAAAUUGCACCAUUUUUAACUCAAGACUUGUUCAAUCAAUCGAAAACUUAACUAGAUAAGUUCCAUUCAUUCUCGACAGCUUCUACGUCUUAAUUCAUCGGUUGAAGUAAUCUUUAACCCUCUGAUGAAAUUCAGAGCAAAGUCGAUUGACAUAUAGUAAGUUGUGAAGUUCAUCCUUUUCAACAUGAAGAAAUAAUAUUAAAUAAACUUUAAGAAGGCAGCAAAGUCAAAAUAGCUGUCUCCAAGAUGUAACCUGCUUCCUAAUCUUGAUCUUGAGUAAGAUCUGGUCCCUUCUUGUCCUCUUCUUGCCUUGCUUAGUUUCUUCAAGGUACUUUUUGCAGCAUAAAAUUGCAAUUUGCUUACCGAUAAAAGCUUGACUCUAUAUCAAUGACGAGCUGAUUAUACUUAUUAUUCUAUUUGUAUCAUGAAAAAUAAAUAUUUAGAAAAAUAUUUUCUUAAAAUGAAAUCAAAAAUAUAUUUCUUUAUCGACAACUUUUUAUAUCUAAAUAUUUUAUAUGUAAUGAAAAUAUUUUUCAUUCACUUAAUUUUAUAAAUAAUAAAAGCGGAUUUGAUGGAAUCCAAGUACAUAAAUAAUCGAGAAAUGGAAAAUGGAGGAGUCGGUGAGGAACUGGAAGGUACUAGAAAGAGGGAAACGACUGCCAGUCAAGCUGAUAGUAAUAAUAAUUAUAUCUCUCGUUCGUGUGACACCUAAGCCAUGACCUCAUCGGCUUGGGCAUCUUAUGCUCCAGCGUGUCAAACAAGAAGGCAGUGACAGCACGAAACGUGUCUCGUGGGACCCACGAUUUCAGGAGUGGAGACUUGAGAUCUGGAAUGACGCGAGCAAUGACCAUAUCGAGCCGCCUCUCCACCCACCCUGCGGCCAAAUAAAAGUCACAUCGUCAAAAUCCCGCCAAAAUCCUCUUUCCCUCUACAUAAGUGGCACCCGAGUUAGCCUGAUUUCACCGCGGACAGCAUUCUUCAUUUCAGUUCAAAUUAGCAAAAGCUUCAGCUUGUAGCUACAAAUUCAAUGGCGGAGGAAGUGAUUUUGUUGGACUUCUGGUCGAGCCCGUUCGGGAUGAGGGCCAGGAUUGCCCUGCGUGAGAAGGGCGUGGAGUUCGACUGGAGGGAGGAGGACCUGAGCAACAAGAGCCCCCUGCUCUUGAAGAUGAACCCAGUCCACAAGAAGAUCCCCGUCCUCAUCCACAAUGGUAAGCCCGUUUGCGAGUCCCUCAUCAUGGUCCAGUACAUCGACGAGACCUGGGGUCGCGAGUCUCCUCUCCUGCCUUCGAAUCCUUACGAGCGUGCCCGGGUCAGGUUCUGGACCGACUAUGCGGACAAGA
rnacentral:lncRNA from 1 species